rnacentral:lncRNA from 1 species
CUUAGUCUAAAAGGUAGCGGAAAAGCGUCUGAAAUUUUUUUUGAAAACCUGACCCCAGAGUGUGCCAGAUCCGCCACAAAUACAGGAGUUCCACUGUUCACACGGACAGAGUCUCCCCUGUAUUUGCACGGCGUCGCACAAGUACAAAAGUUCAAUCAUACAACAACCACAACCAGAUGAACAUACAAAUAACCACAGAUAUACAUUCAUACACCAUUCACCACAGAUUCACAAAUAUACAUUCGCUAUUUAAAUAUAAAUCCACAGAAAACCUUUUGAAAACUAUUCCCUACACAGGAACUUUUAUCUUUUCAAAACGCUACCACGAGGGGUAGAAAACUAUUUUCAUUUCAAGAAAACACAAAUUCCUUUAUUACAUUCCAAAACCAACUGAAAACUCAGAUAUCCAAAUAGUAAAAUAAAACUGAACCAUAAUAUGUCUAAGUUAGUUAUUUAUUUAAGCAUGAAGGGUAAGGGAAGAUAAACCAAACCACGGGACGGAAAGCUCUAUCGUAUGCUAGACCCGAUCCUCACCAGCUGUCCCACUCGGACCUGCUACGUCACCUGUAAUGGGGGCGGGGGGUGAGAACAUGUAAACAUGUCUCCCCUCCCAGUGGGUACCGCAAGCCGAAGAAGGCGAGGGGUACUCACUAGUCACGGAGAUAAACAAGGAUAUAGAUAAUGGUAGUACAGUAGCUAAAAUAAACAAGUACUGAAAUGUAUAUAAAUAAACCACUACAGCUACUGUAUGCAUGCAUCAACGGGACAAUCAGUCCAAAAGUACCCAAUCUGAAAUGGCCGUAUUGGUACCCAACACCUCAGGCCUAUGCCACAUCUGCUCUGACAGAAACAAGCCAUAUUGGUACCCAACACCUCAGGUUGAAAGCAUAUAACCUCACAAGGGCUCACGAGUUCACACAAGCAACCACUUUUCCGGAAAAGAACACCCCUUGCGGUGGAUCAGACCGCCGGUGUUCGUGAAAUGCGUGCGAGCAGUGGUGAUCGAUGCAGAAUGCUCAAUAGCCAACCGUCGGCAACCAGCCGACAAUCCUGCCCACUCAGGGCUCACUGACCAUAUGGGUCAUCAUGUAACCAACUCGACCAAACAGGUCACAAGUACAGGAUAUGAAACUCGACCAACAAGGUCACAAGUAUAGGAUAGAAAAAUCGACCAACAAGGUCCUAGAUACAACACAGGAGAAUCGACCAACCAGGUCGCAGAUAUCAUAUGCUGAUGAAAUCUACUCUACUCCUACAUAAGAUACUAAACAUGGAAACAACCAAGUAGAGUAAAUACGGGAAUAAUACGGGUGCAAGGCUCAAUAUGUAUAUGAUAAGCAAUAUAAACAGUAAGGGUGGAAGGAACGUCACCGAGCGUGCACCACUGUACCGACGUCGGGUCGAAGUACCCAUCACUGUCGUGUCUGACGAAAAUCUCUUCGACUGUGAAGACGGUGCAGACGAACCUACGAAAGUCACCGCGUUAGAACGCUAACCGCUCUAAGAAACCCAUCAAAGCAUAACCCACGAUAAAUCCACGCGGAAUUGAUUUCCCAAAUCGAUUACCGAAACCACCGGAAGUCCGAACAUCGCACCGGAAAUCAAUCGAUUGUUUCGAGAAAGGCCUUGGCCUUGACCGAUCAGUCCAGAGGUUAUCCUGUCGAGCCUUACACUGCUCCAAUAGCACCACAUCGAACAUAAAGCAUAAAACCUUACGAUACAUAGAAUCAAUCAUUUUUAUGUGAUUUCUAGGCUUUUCUGGACGACGUGCACAACAAACCAGAGUAUUAUAUACCGCCGUCGGCACGUCGCUGACANNNNNNNNNNNNNNNNNNNNNNNNNNNNNNNNNNNNNNNNNNNNNNNNNNNNNNNNNNNNNNNNNNNNNNNNNNNNNNNNNNNNNNNNNNNNNNNNNNNNNNNNNNNNNNNNNNNNNNNNNNNNNNNNNNNNNNNNNNNNNNNNNNNNNNNNNNNNNNNNNNNNNNNNNNNNNNNNNNNNNNNNNNNNNNNNNNNNNNNNNNNNNNNNNNNNNNNNNNNNNNNNNNNNNNNNNNNNNNNNNNNNNNNNNNNNNNNNNNNNNNNNNNNNNNNNNNNNNNNNNNNNNNNNNNNNNNNNNNNNNNNNNNNNNNNNNNNNNNNNNNNNNNNNNNNNNNNNNNNNNNNNNNNNNNNNNNNNNNNNNNNNNNNNNNNNNNNNNNNNNNNNNNNNNNNNNNNNNNNNNNNNNNNNNNNNNNNNNNNNNNNNNNNNNNNNNNNNNNNNNNNNNNNNNNNNNNNNNNNNNNNNNNNNNNNNNNNNNNNNNNNNNNNNNNNNNNNNNNNNNNNNNNNNNNNNNNNNNNNNNNNNNNNNNNNNNNNNNNNNNNNNNNNNNNNNNNNNNNNNNNNNNNNNNNNNNNNNNNNNNNNNNNNNNNNNNNNNNNNNNNNNNNNNNNNNNNNNNNNNNNNNNNNNNNNNNNNNNNNNNNNNNNNNNNNNNNNNNNNNNNNNNNNNNNNNNNNNNNNNNNNNNNNNNNNNNNNNNNNNNNNNNNNNNNNNNNNNNNNNNNNNNNNNNNNNNNNNNNNNNNNNNNNNNNNNNNNNNNNNNNNNNNNNNNNNNNNNNNNNNNNNNNNNNNNNNNNNNNNNNNNNNNNNNNNNNNNNNNNNNNNNNNNNNNNNNNNNNNNNNNNNNNNNNNNNNNNNNNNNNNNNNNNNNNNNNNNNNNNNNNNNNNNNNNNNNNNNNNNNNNNNNNNNNNNNNNNNNNNNNNNNNNNNNNNNNNNNNNNNNNNNNUUUCGGAGUAGCACGAUGUCAGCACGAUUGAGAUCAUCGUGCUCACUUCCCGAGUUUAGGAAGGCCUUAUCUGGAUGCACUGAAAGUGUGGACCGGAAAACUCGAAAAAAUAGUGCUUGAAAAAGAAAAUACCGUUACAGAAACCCGAAGGAGGGCUUAGGUUCGGGUGCGCUUGCAGCGGGAGGCGGCGCGGUCAGGCCGGAUGGAGGGAGCACUCUGUCCGAGAAUGGUCAGGGAGGCUUGCUGGCAGCGGCGAGCGGCAACCGGAUGGCGCGGCGGAGGAGAAUACGAAGUCACACCACUCCCUCUCCGGGUUCAAACUUCCGCGGCGCGCUCGGCGUGCGGCCGGAGAGUUGGCGGACGGCGACGAACGGUGGCGGAGGCGAGGGACAGGCGGUGCACCCCGGUGGGCGACGGCGUUGGAAAGCCGAGCUUAGGGGGCCGACUCGCUCGCAGGGUUCUGGGCGCGCAGGACGAUCAGCGGCGGCCUGCGGCGGCGGGGACGGCGGGGCGAUGCACGCGCGUGAUUGCGAUGUCGCGGGGCGACAGGACGGGCGCCCGGCAAGAAGGCGUGGUCGCAGAGCUCGAUCGAGGCUCAGGUCUGAGGCUGAGCGAGGGGUGACCCGCAUGGGAGCAGGGGUGGCUACGGCGCGCGGGUGGGGGGCAUGUGGGGAGGACGGGGAAGCUAAGUCUAAGUCCUAGGGAAGAGCCUCAGCGUUAUGAAGCUUCCUGAGUAUCACAGUCGAAGUGGAGCAAUGAGAGGAGAGCGGCAAUGGGAGAUGCGAGGGAGUUUUAUCAGGCAGGCCGAGCAGCCUCAGCGGGCGGCUGCAUGCACGGGCUUGGCAGGCGGUGGAGGUGCGGCUGGGGCAAGCUGGGGAUGAUUAGGGUUAUUGGUUUCUUUUGUGAAACCCUAGCAACCUAUAUAUAAGAAUACAUAGGUGUAUUUGCAAGGAACCCCUUCAACGUCUAUAUUUACAGUACAAGGCCCUUGCCUAGUGUUGUACUUGCGAUACGUACUCAACGAUCGAAAUCUCGCCGAAACGGCGCAUAAAAUAUGAGGAAUUUUCGGAUUAAUUUAUUUGCCAAAUGGAACUCCUCUCACGGACUUUUCUACGAUUCGAAUCGAUCCGUCGGAAUUUGCUGACGGAUUGCGCCAGCAGUUUCAGCCGAUAGGCAUCGAAUCUAGCAUUUGUAUUCGUGUGAAUUUGUUCGCCAUCAGCGACGAAAACCUACCUUCUCUAUUUCACAUAUAACGUAUAUAUUAUUACAUGUAAUAGUCAGUUAAACCCCUGUUCUCGGACAACGUGCAUCAGAAUUUAAUUCCGUCCGCUGCAUUGGUCCAAAAUGGUCGAGCCAUUCGAAACGAGCUAUUGAGUCUAUAUUCAGGAGUUUCAACGGUGCACCAGGAAACCUUCUCUAAUCGGUUUGGCUAAUCGGAAAAGCGGAGUUCUAUUACUUUAAGUCGCGGUUCGGGGUUUUGCGUAACAUCUCUCUUUUUAGGCUCAUUUUCUUCUGAAAUUUGACGAUGUUAGUAAUAAUUCACACAAAACAUCGUCACAAGGGCUUAAAUUUUAUGAUUUUCCAAAAAUUUCAGUUAUUACAUUAUUAGUGCAAUUAGGAUAUAAGAUUGUAUUAGAAUCCAAUAAAGUUGUAAUUUCUAAGGGAGAAAUGUUUAUUGGAAAAGGUUUUGUAUAUGAGGGUUUGUUCAAACUGAAUGUACUUUCUUUUGCUGAUAAUAAAAAUUCUUCUUUUUAUACUUCUUCUACUAUUGUUUUGAAUACUGAAUCUUGUGAUAUAUGGCAUGGCAGAUUAGGGCAUGUGAACCUUAGAUCUAUUCUGAAAUUAUCCAAUCUUAACCUUGUACCCAAAUUCAAGAGAUCCUAUAUCCAAAUGUGAGAUUUGUACCCAAGCUAAGCAGCCUAGGAAACCUUUUAAAUCUGUUCCUUAUAGGGAUACCCAGAUUCUUGAACUGAUUCAUAGUGAUGUCUGUGAUUCCAAUAGAGGUCCUACUCAUGGAGGAAGUCGUUACUUUGUGACCUUUAUAGAUGACUACUCCAAAUUUUGUUACACCUAUCUCUUGAAGACCAAAGAUGAAGUCCUCAAUAAGUUUAAAGCCUUUAAAGCAGAGACUAAAAACCAAUUGGAGAAGAGCAUUAAAAUUCUAAGGUUUGAUAGAGAAGGCGAGUAUACUUCAAAUGAAUUAAAUUUGUUCUGCAAAGAACAUGGAAUAAUUCAUGAAGUAACUGCUCCUUACUCACCUCAAUCAAAUGGUGUAGCUGAAAGAAAGAACCGAACCCUAUUAGACAUGGUUAAUGCUAUGAUUUUAAGUUCUGGUGUAUCUCAGAACUUGUGGGGGGAGGCUCUUUUAUCAGCUUGUUAUAUCCUCAAUAGGAUUCCUUCUAAGGAUAGAACCCAGACACCUUAUGAACUUUGGAAGGGAAGAGCACCUAGGCUGAGUUACUUCCGAGUGUGGGGGUGCUUAGCUAAGGUGUCUAUUUCUGAACCCAAAUGAAAGAAAAUUGGUCCUAAAACAGUAGAUGCCAUUUUCAUUGGAUAUUCCCUAGAUAGCAACACCUAUAGAUUUCUUAUAACCAACUCUGAGAUUUAUGAGAUUUCCAAUGAUACCUUGAUUGAAUCUAGAAUGCAACCUUCUUUGAAAAUAUCUUUCCUUUCAAAACUCGUAUCUCUAGAUCUGCAUUUGAUUAUCAGCCUACAGUUGAUCAUGCAUCUACAUUGGAUCAUUUACCUGCAUCUGAUUUAUCAUAUAGUUUAGAUCCUGUUAAAUCUAACCCACCAGCUGAACUGAGAAGAAGCAAGAGAGCUCGUAUCGAGAAGAACUUUGGUGAAGAUUUCUUUACUUUCUUAGUUGAAAGUACACCUUCAUCAUACAAGGAAGCUAUGAGUUCUUCUGAAGCUUCUUUUUGGAAGGAGGCUAUAAACAGUGAGAUCGAGUCAAUUAUUGGCAACAACACUUGGAUCCUCACUGAUUUACCUCCUGGAAACCAACCUUUAGGAUGUAAGUGGAUCUUUAAAAAGAAGCUUAGGACUAACGGAUCGGUAGAGAAGUAUAAGGGCGGCUUGUAGCUCAAGGUUUUCGACAAAAAGCUGAAGUUGAUUACUUUGACACAUAUGCGCCUGUUGCUCGUAUUGCUACUAUCCGAGUCAUUCUUGCAUUAGCAUCUAUUCAUAAGCUUUUGAUUCAUCAGAUGGAUGUCAAAACCGCUUUUCUUCAUGGAGAUCUUGAAGAAGAAAUCUAUAUGACUCAACCUGAAGGUUUCUCUGUGCCUGGUCAAGAAAAUAAGGUGUGUAAAUUAGUCCGCUCUUUGUAUGGACUAAAACAAGCACCUAAGCAGUGGCACGAGAAAUUUGACAGUGUUAUUGAAUCAUAUGGAUUUCAAACAAAUGAUUUUGACAACUGUCUCUAUUUCAAGAGAUUUGAUGAUCGUUGUGUUCUUCUUUGCCUCUAUGUUGAUGACAUCCUGAUCCUUGCACCUGAUCUUGAUCUGAUUAACCAAGUUAAAUUCUUUUUAUCGACUCAUUUUGAUAUGAAGGAUCUUGGUGAAGCAGAUGUGAUUUUAGGAAUGAAAAUUCUUAGAUCAUCAUAUUUUAUUCUUCUGACCCAAUCUCAUUAUACCCAAAUGGUUCUUGACAAAUUUGGAUAUUCUGAUUGCUCUCCUGUUUCUACUUCUUUUUAUCCUAGUGUUCAACUUGUGAAGAACACUGGUAAUCUUGUGAAUCAGGAGAGAUAUGCCCAGAUUAUUGGUUCUUUGAUGUACCUAACCAAUAGGACUACACCUAAUAUUGCCUAUGCUAUAUCGAAAUUAAGUAGAUAUACUAGUAACCCUAGUAUAACUCAUUGGAUUGCUUUGGAAAGAGUAUUUCGUUACCUUAAAGGUACUAUCUCUUAUUCUCUUCGUUUUGUUGGCUAUCCUGCUGUAAUUGAGGGAUACAGCGAUGCCAAUUGGAUUUUUGAUUCUUUGGAUAUCAAGUCAACUUUUGGUUAUGUUUUUAUUCUUGGUGGAGGUGCAGUUUCUUGGCAAUCCACCAAACAGACUAUAAUAGCCAGAAGUACUGUGAAGGCUGAGUUAGUUGCUCUUGAUACUACUUGUCUUGAAGCCGAGUGGCUCAAGAAUGUCACGCCCCGGAUAUCUCGUUCCCCGGGCACGCCGACAAAUCCGCCGUAUACAAAAAAAUUUUCCUGUAUACGAAGCGACAGCUGUACCUGUAAACAUACAAUACUACGAACAGUAGUAUAGAGCUGCUCGAGUAAACAAAAGCUAAACAAACUGAGCUUCAUAUACAUAGUUCAAAAAUCAAAAUACAGAGUUACUCGCACUAGCGAGUUUAGUACUAUGUACAUAAGCUCGAAAUAAAACAACUACCUGCAAUAGGGUGCCUCUAGCUCUGCUCGGCGGGUAGGGCUCUAACUCGCGACGCCCUUACCUCGAUCCUGAUCCACGGAAGGCGCAGCAGGCGAAACCUGUGGCUCUGCAAAAAUAGGGGUAACAACUAGGCUUGAGAACUACUAUAAAAACAAGUAGUCCUCAGUGGGUGCCGCCCAAAACAAUAUCGGUCUACCCACUCAGUCUACAGAAGGGAGCAAUGGUAAAUGUAAAGUGCUGGAAUGAACUCUACAGCUACAAGCUACUAGUCACUACACCAUCCUGCUCUAUGCUAACCAAUUGUAGGAAAUGUCAAAACUGACCCAAUCCAAUCGGGAUUGUAAACAUACCCGUCUCUGGGACUGUGAACACACCCGUCCUUGCCCAGUUGCGACUAUCAAGCUACCCCCACACUAACUGGUCCGUGGAGAGCAAGUCCAACCGGCAUUAGCGACCCGAACGCAAAAGCACAAAGCCCGUCUCCAGAGUCACACUCGUGGGCGCUACCCAACCGAGUAUGCAGCGUAUCUCUGUCGAGCUCAAUCAGGCUCUGAAAAGCCGAAGUCUAAUAACCGACUCUAACAGGUCUAACAACCAACAGAUCACGUGCUCUUGGCAGAAUCUGUCGCCAAAAAGACGAUCCAGGUCCACCGUCAACCCUGACGGCACCCAACAGUCCAAAACAGCCCAAACGACCCAGUAGAAAUCCACUCGGCGUACCAGCAUGAGCGUAAAUGUAUUUUAAACUACCUAGAGUACUCGUCUCGAGGAUACUGCGACAGUACAAUUUUAUAACGGCUCCUAGAGCUAAAUCAGGCAGUUUAAACAAGUGACAGGUCCAAAUCGCAGGUUUUCUCCUAAUUCAAAUUCCAAGUCCAACAUGUAUAACCUACUCAAUUUAUUACGACACGCUCCAAAUUCAGAUUUGUAAUCUACCAAAUAAUCCAUGAAUUCGAGCUAAAAUAGAUUAUCGAAAAUCGAAAUCUAUACAUGUCGACGAUUAUGAACAUAGGAGUAAAACUGAUGUAAACCCACCUCAAAGCUAAUCCCUGGCAGCACGGAAGUCCCACGGCUGCGGCACAACCUGCUGGAUCGACUGAAAAUGUCCGAGUCUCGAAAUCAAGCUAUCUCUAAGCUAUCAACAUCGAAAAUCCACAAUUCAGUCCAAAUACACAGCAGCAGAGAAGAGAAGGGUUUCGACCAAGCUAACCUUCACCAAAAUCCACAAGUAAGGUCUUUGUGGAUUCCUCUCGCAGUCCCGAAUCCAACGAACCAAGUCUCGUCGAAAUCCGAUGCUCCUACGUCGAGUACAAGCUAAAAUACUAAUAGUCGACGAUGAAUUUCAGCAACAACACUUAAGCUCGAAUUAAUGAUGCUUGGAGAAAUGAAGAAGCAAUUCGACGGAACAUUCACCUCGGCAGCGACUAGCACCGGCGUGACGUCAAGAACAACGAAGUCGCUCGCUCGCCCGGCCUCCUCGCACUGCUCCGGCAACAAUCGUAUCCCCAAACGGUUCCGCGGCGCGACGUCGGCGACGAAUCCGAGCUUCUUCCUCGCCUUCAACCGGAUGAAAGUGAGAGAGAGAAAGAUGAAGAAAUGCAGCAAGAGGCCUUCUCUCUCUCUACACGAAGCUAUAUAGAGAGAGGGUGUGUUGGUGAUACAAACGAGGGAGGGAAUUACCAAAUUAGCCCUCUACCUAUCUCCUUGUACCGGUACACGGGCUCCUGUACCGGUACAAGAGCCAACCCGAGAGCAGUUAAACCAGUGCGCGCUGGUUGUACCGGUACAGCCACGCUGGUUGUACCGGUAUAGCAAGCAGAGAAUUCUGCUGUUUUACAGAAUUCUUCGCGAUAAGCUGCCCUCGCGUCGCACGGAGUCUGUUUUGCGUUUAUUUGACGCCAACGCGACUCGGAAUUGUCCCGACACUCUUCAGAGCUGCCGACAAGCCACCACAACAACACACCAAGGAUCUCACAAAGAAUCUACUAUCAUCGAUUCCGUUGAUUUUUUCUCCUAUUCCACCUAUUUCUAUUAGGUGUGAUUCUCGAGCUGCAAUUGAUUUUUGUAAAAAGAAAUUGGUAAAUUCUAAAGCUAGUAGACAUAUUAAGUUGAAACAAAAGUCUGUUAGAUGGUUAACUCCUCAUGAUAUUAUUUCUUUGAGUUUUAUCAGAUCUUAUCAGAAUCUUGCAGAUUGCUUUACGAAAGGCCUGAAUAGGACUAAGGUCCUGGAGUCAUCGAGAGGGAUGGGACUUUGUCCGUAAAGGGCCUUCCUGCAGUGGGAACCUAACCUUUGUGAUAGGAGAUCCCUUGAAGAAGGUUCAAUGUGGUAAAAAUAAGCUGUCAGGUUGGCCAAAGAGCACUUUCUACAGUUUAUAUAGAGGAGAUUUUAGCUCCAAUUCCAUCCCUAUGGUGAGUAAUGCUGUGUAGUGGUUGAGGCUGAGCUCAUAACUCUUAAUGGGAUCUGAGGCGAUAAUUUUCGCGAGAUGUGACUCUACACACAUCCCUGAAGGAAACCACCUAUAUAAGAGUAUCCGUAUGUGGCCGCGGCUAUGAGAAGUUGGUUGUCCAUAGAAGCUCUUAUGAAAAAUCAAGGUACUGUACAUGGCCAUUAACGCACAGACUCGCGACGGAGAAUUCUGUACUGUGUGUGUGGUAGUUGAAGUCGGGGUCAAAAAACAUAGUUCAAGACCUGAUUCACUCCGAUUUCUUCUGAUGGAAACCAUUUACACUACGUGAAGUUAAGUCCUUAAAGACACCUUACCUACUGCAUAGUAUAAACACCCAAUGAUUCAUUAAUUUUGUGAUUUAUUGAUUUAUUGAUUUAUUAGUUUAAUUUUUAUUUUAUGAUUUUAAAUUUUGUGGGGAAUUGUUGAUAAUAAAAUAAAAUUCAAAAUCUUUAUUAUGUUUUUCAUCCAUUAUUAAUUGAAGAAUUUAUUUUUGCGGAAGUUUCGGUUUGCGUGGCGAGCGAACCGGCUCCCUGUGCGCACCGCUGCGCGCACGUCCGCGCGUCCAUCACGCGUCGGUUUGAAGAAGAACGUUUGACCCAACGUUCUAAUUAUGUUCAUAGUAUUUUAAGAUGUGAGGACAGAGCAUUUCAUACACAUGUAAAUGAAUGAAUGUGUGAGAGCUUCACAGGAUCGCUUUUCAAGAGUUAAUUUUAAUUUUCUUUUUACUAAUUUCAUCCACUUCAUUUGAUUGUUUUAUUGCUGGGUGUUGAAAGAGUUUUCGUCAACCUCUUCUGCGUUCGUGCUCGUAGGAGGAGGAGUUCCGGUCGUAUCUUGGGGCAGUGUUUUCGGUUAAUCCCGCACGAAGGAUGAGAAUACGUCUUAGGGCAGUACUUCGCACGCUUCCGGAUCAAAUUAUUUGUCAUCAUUCUUCUACAAUAUUUUAGAAUUUAGCGAUUAUCGGUAAGUUGAUUUUAUUAAUUUCAUCACUAAAUUAGUUAGAUCUAGUCACAAUCGGACUAUUCGUUGCGGUUUUUCCCCAACACAGCCGAAGAAAGCGGAAGAGGAACAAUUCGACCCAAUGUAAAGGUGUGACCUAGCUAACUUCAAGCAAAAGAAGAGGGUAACCCAAUUCGAUUCAAGUAAAGAAAGAGGGAAAUGUAUAGAAGACUUGAACUGGGCCGGGGGAGUCAACACUCAAUAAUAAUUGGUUUGGUUCAAGCAAAGAAAACAAAAAUCCGAUUCGGUUCAAACAAAUAAAGGGGAAAAUAUGUGAAAGACUUGAGCCCAUUCAUGAUGGAGCCCACACCGAACAAUAAAGGGAAUGUUGUCAUAUGGCAAAUUUUGGGAGAAUAAUGUAUAGGUAUAGACUUGAGCCAGUUCGGGGAGCCCACACUCAACGACGAUUUGUUCGGUUCUAGCAAAAAAAAAGGACCAAUUCGGUUCGAAACAAGAAAGAGAAAAAUAUGUAGAGUACAUGAGUCGGUUCAGGAUGGAUCCCACACUCAACAAUGAAGAGAACGUUGUCAUAUGAUAAAUUUAGAAAUAAUAAUGUAUAGAUAUAAAUAUAGAUAAUAGCUAGUAGAGAAAACGAAAUCGCAACGAUUGAAAAACCAAUACAAGAGAAUAAAACACAUAAAACAUGCUAAUUAAGUAUCCCACUCUUAUAUAGUUAUGAGCUUUACCAAUACAGGAGAAUAAAACACAUAAAACAUGCUAAUUAAGUAUCCCACUCUUAUAUAGUUAUGAGCUUUACCAAUACAAGAGAAUAAAACACAUAAAACAUGCUAAUUAAGUAUCCCACUCUUAUAUAGUUAUGAGCUUUACCAAUACAGGAGAAUAAAACACAUAAAACAUGCUAAUUAAGUAUCCCACUCUUAUAUAGUUAUGAGCUUUACCAAUACAAGAGAAUAAAACACAUAAAACAUGCUAAUUAAGUAUCCCACUCUUAUAUAGUUAUGAGCUUUUAUUUUCUCAUACAUUUGCUCGGGCAACACACUUUAUUAUAAUAUUAAUGAGUCAGACUUUAAUUGUGAUACCAAUUAAGUGCUAAAUCUAGCGAGUCAACCACUAAUAAGUUUUCACAAUUAAAACUGACCCAUUAAUUAUAUUUUGAUAAACAGACAUCUUUAUUUGUAGUACUAGUUCUUAUAAUAGAGAAUUUGAGGAUCAAUAGUAAACCUCAAUGACAGACCGCACGCCUAAUGCAUUCACUAUUUUAUAUUCCUUGUAACCUGCAUCGGUAAAUAAUUUGCUCCAUUCUUUUUCAUUUCUUUCUUUUCCUGGUGUUAGAACCAUCACCAGCAUAUCGAAGAAAAGUUGUGUUUCCUCGGACUUGAAAUGCUCACUCUCCCUACUGGUCAUCACCAUGUCAAUGAUAAUAACUUUACCUCCCUUUUCUUUUGGAGGAACAGCAUCCUUACAACGUUUUAAUAUCUUCACGCAGUCCUCGUCACUCCAAUCGUGUAAGGUCCACUGCAAGAAAUUAGAAAAUAAUUUGUAUACUUGAAUGAGAAAUCAUCUUUAAUCAGAGAUGUAAUUUUGGCAUCAAAACAAGGGUAAAGUGUACGAACGGUCACUACACUAUCCAGAUGUAGCAACUUAGUCCUUGCUUUUCUAAUUUGAAGGCCUUAGUUUCUAAACUUUAAUGUACGAUGCAAUUUAAUCUCUGACACACUAAAAAGAAUUUUAAUUGCUAUUAUAUUGUGAUAUUUUAAUUAUGAUUAAAGUAAAUUGAACACGGUGAAUCAUUCAAAAACCAAAACCCAGUGAACACGGUGAAUCAUUCACCGUGUUUCAUAUUUAUAUAUUCAUUUUCUUCUUUUAGGGAUGUCGGUCGGUUUUGGAUCGGAUUUUCAAAAAUCCAAACCCGAAUCCGAAAAUCAAAUUAAAAUCCGAACCCGAAUCCGAAAAUCAAAUUAAAAUCCGAACCCGAAUCCGAACCUGGCGGAUUUUAAAAAUCCAUACCCAUAUAACUUUAAUAUAUGGAUAUGGGUAUGGAUUUUUAAAACCCGCCGGGUUCGAGUUUUAAUUUAAUUUCGGAUUUGGUUUCGGGUUUUUAAAAAUCCGAUCCAAACCCGACCUGUUGACAUGCUUAAAAGAAAAAAAAAAAAGAAAUAUAAAUAUGAAACACGGUGAAUGUAACGAACCAGCCCACUAGCAACAAUAACUCGUUGGGCCCAAACCAUCGCCCCAAAAUGUUUAAGCCCAGUUAUUAUUACUAGUGUCUAAGUCUCUUAUAAACCCAAUGACAACCCCAUUUUCAUCCGAUGUGGGAUUAUUGGGGUGUCACAGACUCCCCCCGUUAAGGCCCUGACGUCCUCGUCAGUCCAAUGACACACACAGCCCAAGAUCACCAGGCGAUGUGAGGCUCGUCUCGCUAGCCCGUCAUCCAGACCCUGGCUCAGUCGAGACUCGCUAUACAUGUCCAGCUGGUGAACUGGCUCUGAUACCAAAUGUAACGACCUAGCCCACUAGCAACAAUAACUCGUUGGGUCCAAACCACCGGCCCAAAAUGCUUAAGCCCAGUUAUUAUUACUAGUGUCUAAGUCUCUUAUAAACCCAAUGACAACCCCAUUCCCAUCCGAUGUGGAAUUAUUGGGGUGUCACAGUGAAUCAUUCACCGUGUUUGAACACGGUAAAUGAUUCAUCGUGUUCAACUUGCCAACCAACCCCCCAGCCCGCCCACGUGGCGCUUUCGUGGCGCCUGCUUGGCAGGAGUAGGGUCAUUUUUGUAAUUAUAAAUUUGUUGGGGCUAGUUUUAAAAUAAAUUUUUUUUAGGGGGCCAUUUGCAAAAAAAGUCCGAUAAAAAAUUUAAAUUAAAAAAAAAAAAUAUAGGUUUAUACUAACACACGAAUACAUGCCAUGAAGCUUCACAUAGAAGAUAUUUUAAAGAUUUAAUAUAAAUAUAAAUAUAGAGUAAUAAAAAUAAAAAGAUUAAGAGAAAAUAUAUCAUAUAUAAAAAAUUAUCUUUUAUAAUACGAAUCCAACGUGCUCUUAGGGCCGAUUUAGUUUGGAGUAUAAGCAGGGAUAACAAAAGUUAUCCUGAUAUUCCGCCAAACGGAAUAAUUUUUGGUCGAAAUAUUUUAUCCCGAUCAAAUCUUGCUAUUCUGGACUAUUCCGGAAUAGCUUGGGAUUUACUAUUCCACAAUUUUGAUGUAAUAGUUCUCUUCCAAUAUUUAAUUUCAAACUUUAUUAAAACUAUAAAAACUAAAUUAUAUAAAUAUAAUACGUUAUAUAUUAUAAUAUAUUAUUUUUAUUAUAAAAUUAUUAAUUGUACUAUAUUAAUACAUAUUAUUUAUUUUUAAUAUUAUAAUAAAUUNAUUUAUUAUAAUAAAUUAUUUUUAUUAAUUGUUUCCACCCCUAUUCUUAUUUUAAAAUUUUAAAAUUUAAAAUUUAAAAUUUAAAAUUUAAAAAUUCAAAUUUAAAUUUUAAAAUUUUAAAAUUUAUAAUUUGUAAUCUCAAAAUUAAAAUUUAUAAUUUUAAAUUCUAAAUUUUAGAAUUUGAUAUUUUAAAUUUUUGAAAUUUAAAAUGUAAUAUUUUAUAUUUUUCAAAUUUAAAUUUGUUCUUAAAUUUAUAGUUUUAUAUUUAAAAUUCAAAAUUUAAGAUUUUAAAUUUUAAAAUUUUAAUUUCAAUGAAAAGGAUAAUAUUAUUAUUUUUUAUUUAUAACUAAUCACUAUCUUUUUUUAUUCUAUCUUAUCUAUACAAAUGCUAUUUUUUUUAUUUUCAAAAACAAUUAAUCCAAUUUCUAUCCAAACGUAAAAUUGCUUUAGUUUUUAUUUAUACCUGAAUUUAUAUAUAUCUCUGAAAUAAAUAAUUCUUACUUAUAUCCCAACUUAAGGAUACCUUAUUAGGGUGUAUAAAUUAAUUAAUAUAUUUUUAUUAUAAUAUCCCCACGGAGGAUGUCACAGUGAAUGUACUCAAACAUAUCUCGUACCUUGAGUAGGAUAGCAUCUGCGGGAGGAAUGUACUCAAACAUAUCUCCACCUACAAAAGCAAUCCUCCCGUUUUCUUCACUCGUCAAGCCUUCAACUACAUGCGGAAGGUCGAAAACGGUGAACUGCACCUGCGGAAGGGCUUUAGCAAUUGCUCGCGCCAACGUGCCUGUGCCGCCUGCAACGUCCACCACCGAUUGCAACCCGCAAAACGUGUCAAUGCACGCGCUCGCGACCAGUUUGCCCACCAAACUGGCGUCGCUCGCCAUCGCCUCAUUAAAGGAGUCACCGAAACUCGCAUUUUGCUUUGUUACUCCCCAGAUGUGAUCUCCGUGAAAUAUUUCAAAGGCGGUCGGCACAUUUGAUUGCCGAAACCACUCGCCAAGGCUAUGCCAUGGCAACGUAAAUAUACGGUCGAGCAUGUUAAGCACAAACGGUGAAACACUAACAUCACUUUCCUUCAAAAGGAGGGAAGAGUUGACGGUUGGGAGAAAGAGUUCAACAUCCCUCUCACCGUCCCCGUCGCCCUUCUUAAUCUUCUGACAAGUGAAGAAGCCGGAGUGCACGAGGAGGCGCAUCAGGCGGCGCAGGUGAUCAAUACGGGUCGACGGAAUGGACAGCUUGUUCGCCAGCUCGCAGAGCGAGAUAGGCCUGCCGCCGUUCGAGUGCACUGCAUCGGGGAUGCCGAGCUCCACGGCACAUUUUAGGGACAUUGAAUUUAUGAAGUUAAAAAUGUGGUUCCACACAUGGGAUUGAGCUUCUAACAAAUCCUUAGAUUCUAUUACACGUUCCAUCCCACAAAUUAGCUACCCUACUAAGAAAGAUCUCUCGUAGUAGUAAUAUGAAAUUGCACUCCUCCUAGCUUGUGGAUUAUUGGGCUCUCGUUGCUCCUUAAAUAGCCAAAACAAACUGAACACGUGCUUGUUUGUGGGCCCCAGGACUGUUUAGUUAGCAACCUAAUUACCAACGAAAUGAGCUAGACAAUAGUGGUGGCCAAAAGCAUAUGAAUAAGCCGAGUUCGCUACUUAAAAAAUCUUUAGUUUUACAUUUUUUUUUUCUUUUCCGAAAAUACUUUUAUCCUUUUUAAUAAUAUUUUUAUGUCUAGUCAUUUUGAACAAUUUAUUUCAAAUAAUUAAUCAAAUAAUAAUUUAUUCUUAAAUAUGGAUCUUAAUUUUUUGCCAUAAGAUCUAAUCCAACAGUUAAAAACAAAAGUAUCUAUUACAUUUUGUGACAAUAAUACGUACCCUGCAUUCGUAAUAUCCGCUAUUUCCUAUCUAGAUUUUUUUUAAUUUUUUUUUUUUGAGAAAAUGAAGACAUAGUUUUCUAUCAAUUUAAGUCUGUCAAGACGUAAAAAAAAAUUAUUAAAUAUGAAAAUAUAAAAGUAUUAUUUUUUAUCCACAUAAGUUUUUAAAGAAAAUAAUUAUUUCGUAUAAUUAAACAGUUUUAUUGGGCAAAUGUUCACAUUUGCGUGUUGGGGUGUCAAACUUGUCAAGGACCUAAAUGUGGUACCGACUCCGUAGGCCACGAGUCGAAUGUCCCUGAUAAAUUAUUAAAUGUGGUUGAAGCGUUUGGAGGGAAACAUCAUGUCUAACUACUCUUUGUAGCUUCGAAGUUCCAAACCUUUUUCUGCUCGCAUUCACUACCUCACGCCUUCGGCCUGCCCUUGAGCACUAGUUGGCCUGCUUCACAUUUUCCAUGCAAUAAAUUGUCGCAAAGUGCUCCAUCUGACUCUUUCGGUUUGAUAGCUUGUUUGACAGUGUCGCCCCGGAUUACACGUUUUCCGGGCACGCCGAUAAAUCCGCCAUAUAUAAAGAAAUUUUUUCUGUAUAUGAAACGAUAGCUGUACCUAUAAAUCAUACAAUACUACAAACAGUAGUAUAGAGCUACUAGAGUAAACAGAGGCUAAACAAAUGGAGUUCCAUAUACAUAGUUCAAUACUAAAAAUACAGAGCUACUCGCACUGGCGAGUUAAGUAUACUAUGUAUAUGAACUCAAAACAAACAUCUACCUGCAGUAGGGGUACCUUUAGCUCGGCACGUCUGGUAUGGCUCUUACUCGCGACGCCCUUGCCUCGAUCCUGGUCGGCAACAGCAGCAGCCGAAGACGAUGGCUCUACAAAAACAAGAGGGUAAAAUAGGGCGUGAGAACUACUGUAAAAACAGCUAGUCCUCAGUGGGUGCCGCCCUCAACAAUAUCGGUCCACCCACUAAGUCUACAGAAGGGAGCAAAAAUAGUAGUAAAUGCAGAAAUGAAAUCAACCGCUAUGGAUCACUACACUAUCAUGCUCUACACUAACCAACUGUAGGAAAUGUCAAAUCUGACCCAAUCCAAUUGGGACUGUAAGCAUACCCGUCCCUGAGACUGUGAACACACCCGUCCCUAUCCAGUUGUGACUAUCUAGCUACCUCCACACUACUAGUCCGUGAGAGCAAGUCCAACCGGCAUGAGCGACACCAACGCGAAAGUACAGUACCCGUCUCCGGAGUGGCACUCGUGGGAGCUACCCAACCGAGUAUGCAGCGUAUCUCUGUCGAGCUCAAUUAGGCUCUCGAAAGCCAAAGUCCAGUAACCGACUCAAACUUGUCUAACAACCAACAGGUAACGUGCCCUCGGCACAAUCCGACGCCAAAAAGGCGAUACGGGUCCACCGUCAACCCCGACGGCACCCAACAGUCCGAAACAGCCUGAACGUUACUGUAAAAAUUACACUCGGCCUUCCAGCACGAGCGUAACUGAAAACUAAACUACCUGAAUUACUCACUAUGAGGAUACUGCAACAGUAUAAAAUAAUACUACGGCCCCUAGAGCUAAAUCAAGUAGUUUACAUGUACCGAUCGUUAUCGCGUUUUCUCCUAAGUCAAAUCCAAGUCCAACAUGUAUAUUUAGGGUUUACUAAUCAUGUUCUUAAAUCAGAUUUCAUCAAGAUAUAAUCGACGAAAUUGAGCUACACAUGAUAUACAAAACUGAAAAUCAUACAUGUCGACUAAUACGAUACUUAGGAAUAAACCUGUCACGCCCCGGGACCGGCGGAGGCCCUCCCGGUAGCGUGCCCAGACCCGCCAUAUGUCUACACAUAUAAGGCAUCUACAAUAAAGCGGAAGUAAAAGCAAGAAAUAGAACAAAUAGAAUAGUAACAACUAAUGAUAUCAGAGCGAGCAAAGUUCUAUCAUAUAAACCAGCGUAAAGGAAAUAUAUCAAGACGAAGAAAGUAAAACAUAAGGUGAUACAAAACUAACUCCUCAAAAGAAAUACCAAGAUCCAAAAGAAAGGUGGUCUCUAUAUAUAUACGGGUACAACUCUCAACCUCUCACAAAAUAAAAUAUCGAGAGGUAGACCACCUAAACUCGUCUCUCGCUGAAAGGCUAACUCGAAGCGACGCCCUUCCCACGGUACCUAGUCUCUCCCGGCGUGGAAGGCUCUGAAAGAAAACAUAAAACAGAAGGCGUGAGAACUAUAAUUUAUAGUUCCCAGUGGGCAAUUACUGACCUCAGCUCAUUACACCACUAGGCCCAAAAGAAAAAGGUAAGUCAAAAGCGAUAGCAAUAACGAGUAAUUUGCAUCUAUGAAAGCAUAAUGAAAUGCUAAAAUAUUACUUGCGAUUAAACAUGGCAUUUAUGUAAUGCACAAUUAUCCUGUCAUGAAGAGUAUGUCUCUACUUAGCCAUAAAUAAUGUCAUGGUUUGCUUAAUGAAAUUAUGAGGAUUAUCCCUUAUCAUAGCAACGUUGUUUAUAUGAAUGCAAUUAAACACUGCCUCCUAGCAUACUACAUGUAUGUAUGUAUACCCAAAGUCCAAACCUAUGCUAGAAACAAGUCCGAGUAAUCCAACUACCACUCUCUAUUUAAUAGUGAUUAUAACAAACUCAUCCUGUGUCGAUUUCCAUUUCCAAUUAGGGACCUACCAAGGGUAGUCCAGCUUGCGCCGCCUAAGUGCCUGUGGUAGCCCAACAUCCCUAUUCUUGGAAUGUGUCUGUCCCACUCGACCCCGUAGGCUUCUCAAUACCGCACGAGCGAACAUAAGUCGCGUAGGCUAACUCCGGAGUGCCGGCUUGUAGGGAGCGACCCUCACAAGCAUGUGCGAAUGAGCACAAAUGGCAAACAAGCGUAGUCAAUGGCUCAAGUAUCCAACCCUCAUGUCUCUAACAUGGUAUAGUCACUAGCAUCUCGAAGAUCUAGUUCUAAGUCACAAAUGAAGUUCCAACAUUCUCUAGGUCUAGUGCCCCUUUAUGACACUUAGACAUUUAAUGUUUAAGCAUGUUCCACAUUCCUCAAUGGCCCUAUCCACUAGGUUCUCACAUGUCCCGAGCUCAAUGCCGCUUGAUGACAUUAGCUCUCUAGUUCACAUACCUUCUAAAUGGCAAUCUUGUCAUCUUUCAUGUCACAAGUAAACUCAAGUUUAAAUGCAUGAAUCCGAACUCAUUUACACUAUAGAAGCAUGAAACCAAGUCUCAUAAAGAAUGCUAAAUGCAACCAUAGAUCUCCCAAGCAACUCUCUACUACAUAGAGGUCCAAAAUUUCAUCAUAUAUAACAUAUGCAUUUUAAGCAUUCUAAAAAUCAUAAUAAAUACAAUUAGGAUGAAUAUGCAUGCUUUUCCAAUUUACGGAACAUAUAUAACCAUAUAUGAGAAUUUCUCAUAGGUAGGCUAGGUCAAACCCACCGAACCGUCGCGUAGUGCCCCGUUUCGCCGAACAAAGUUGUCCCCGAGUCUCGAAAUACCCUAGAAGUAUUGAGCGAAGAGAUACACGGGCAUUACGAUCAAUCUAUAAGGUCAAACUUUAACAACCUAACAAAAGGGCUAAAACUCACCUCAAGAGAAGAAAUCUCUUCCAAAGCUCUAAAAGAGAGCUAGAACCCUUCCAAUCCAAGCUCAAGGAAGGUUCUAAUCCAAUCAAUCUAGCCUCAAAAGCCCUAGAUCAAAAAGCCCCAAAAUCAACCCUAAAACCUCAUUCUAGGGUUCCAAUACAAUAAAACCUCAAAUCCAAGGUCUAGAUGGAGAGAAAGGGCUACCAACCUCUAAGAAGCUCCAAUCCAAGCUCAAAGGGUGAAGAUCUUCUCCUUUGCAAGCUCCAAGUCCAAGCCUUCAAGCAUGAACAAGGUGGGAAGAGGAAGAAAAGCAAAGGGAUGCUCCAAGCCCAAGCUAGAUCCUUCUCCUCUUCUUCUCCUUCCUCUUCUUCUCCUUCUUCUCUCUCUAGCAAGGAUGUGGGCAGAGUGUGAGGAGGGAAAAUGAGGAGAAGAGAGGAUGGAUGGGUCAUAUAGACCAUCUAUUGUAACAAAAUCCAGCUAGGUCCUCCAAAAGUCCAAUAUUACCACAGCCCGGUCUGGGCAGUUUUCGCCCAGAGAGACCGGUCUCUCCCCAGCAGGGACCGGUCUCUCGCUGCGAACCCGGAGAACCAACGUUCGGGAACCGGUCUCUCCUUGCGUGGGACCGGUCUCUCUUUGCGAAGGCGCGCUCGGGGACCGGUCUCGCCCGCCAGGGACCGGUUGCCUCAAGGCUGCCGCAACACUGCUUACUGGGGGACCAGUCUUUCCUUCCAGGGACCGGUCCCCGAGAGUAAAAACUCUCAGGACUUGUCCAGAAUUUCAGUUUUCGAACUUUUUAGGUCGGAAAACAUUCUACAACCCUCCACCAAGUGUGGAAAAGCUCGAAAUACAUCCAAAUACUCGAACCUGGCAAUUUGCAAAGGUCCAGUGUGCUAUAUUCACCCUUCCUAAAAGGGAGUUUCGUCCGCGAAACUCGAAAUGACAAAUACCUCAAGCCUCCAUCUGAAAAAGAUGGGGAUAGCGCUCCCGCAGUGCGCUCUCUAGCUCCCAAGUAGCCUCGCGCUCGUCGUGGUUGCUCUAAAGCACCUUCACGUAAGGAAUUUCUCGGUUCCGCAAUCUUUUCACCUUGCGAGCCAAAAUCCUCAAGGGUUGCUCUUCAAACCUCAAAUCAUCCCUCAACUCCAAAGGCGUAGCGUCCAAAACAUGAACCGGAUCGUGGAUGUACUUCCGAAGGACCGAUACAUGGAACACAUUGUGUACCCCCGAUAGGUUUGGCGGUAGAGCGAGUCUAUACGCUACCGGGCCUACACGCUCCAAAACCUCAUAUGGUCCAAUGUAUCGGGGGCUUAACUUACCCCGGAUUCCAAAUCUUCUAAUUCCUUUGUUCUGAAAGUUUUGAGGAGCCCAAGGAUCUAUCUAGAUUGUAUCUAUCACCUAGAGGGGGGGUGAAUAGGUGUAACGGCCAAAAACCACAAAUCUCGAUGCGAUAAAAAUAAAUGCGGAAAAUAAAAAGCACACCGAGAUUUACGUGGGAAAACUCCAACUUGGAGAAAAACCCACGGGACCAACACGCGAAAAAAUAAUUCACUAAGAGAAAAGAUUACAAGGUGAUUACCGACUCCACGGACUUAACCUCUCUUAACCUCCUAUGAAUCUUCGCGCUACCCUCCGGGUUGUCCACGCCCUCACGUCCGAAUCCACGAACGCCUCCACUUCGAAUCCACGAAGUUUCAAUCACGCCGAAUCCACGACGCCACUCGAAUACACGAGCCCACGAUCCGAAUCCACGAACCGCCGUCAAACACGCCGAAUCCACGACGCCGUCAUGAAGAGCAUCAUGAUUAUGGUGAUCCUUCGCUUAGGAGUAUCGUAGAAACCCAGGGAAUAGAACUCCAAGCAAAGCGGAGAUCAAAUCGACAUAUUAAUAUCAAAUUUCAAUAUCUCGAUUUGAUCUAAAAGAGGCUUUUUGUAGAAAAUAGGUUUUAGAUGAAAUCCGAGCCUCUAGGGUUUCUCAAACAUGUAUUCUUAUGAUGCUUAAUCAAUUAGAGAACCCCUAUAGCUUAUUUAUAGACUUUAGAAUCAAUUGGAGUCGAAUUAGAAAGUUUCUUUCCAAAAUCAGCACCUUGUACCGGAACAAGAAAUGUUGUCCAGGGUACACCAUGACGGAAGAUUUUUCUGCGAAGCUCCUGUACCCUGGAUAGGCUGUUGCUUGUUCCGGAACAAGGCUUGUACCGGUACAGCAUGAAGCUUUUACCGGAACAACCAUCAACCUUUCUGCGCGGACGUUGAUGGCUGUACCCUGGACAGAAAAUCCUUGUACCGGUACAGCAAUGCAAUUUUCGCUGAAAAUGCAUUGUUUUGGAUUUUACAAACUCUUAGAAACAUUCUAAUCAAUUACAACUUGGAAACAUGAUUCUAAGAUCUAUAAUUAAGUAUGAAUCACCAUAAACAAGAUUUAAAGCUUACCUACGCAUCGUGAUUCAUGUUUUACGUGUUUUGCAUCCUUUCCGAUUCUUCGAAGUCUUGGAUUCUUCGAUCUUCAAUACUCCGCUCCGAACUUCUUCAAGACUCCGACUCGACCCACGAAACUUGCCAACACAUAGGACCUAACAUGGUCGACGAGACUUUCAAGAACACAUGGUUUCCAAUCUGAAACUCCAAGUCUCGUCGACGCCGAUCAGCAUAACUCCUCUGCCUACUCUGGGCUGUCAACAAUCGCUCCCGAGCAAUGCGAACCUUGUCCUCUGCCUCCUGGAGCACAUCAGGGCCUAAAGCCAAUCUCUCACCAACUUCACUCCAAUGAAGUGGCGAUCUACACUUCCGUCCAUAGAGUGCCUCGAACGGUGCCAUCUUGAUGCUUGCUUGAUAACUAUUGUUAUAAGCAAACUCUGCCAUCGGUAGAUGCUGCGACCAUCCUCCCUGGAAAUCAAUCACACAAGCUCGAAGUAUGUCCUCGAGAGUCUGAAUAGUACGCUCUGACUGCCCGUCACUCUGGGGGUGGAAAGCAGUGCUGAAAUCCAAGCGCGUACCCAAAGCGUCCUGUAAGCUCCUCCAAAAGUGGGAUACAAAACGGGGGUCUCGAUCCGAUACUAUAGAAGUAGGUACCCCGUGCAAUCGCACAAUCUCAUCCAAAUAAAUCUGUGCUAGUCUCUCACCAGUCCAAGUAGUGUGGAUAGGUAUGAAAUGUGCCGAUUUCGUCAAUCUAUCCACAAUCACCUAAAUAGCGUCAUGCCCGGCCUGUGAGCGAGGCAAUCCCAUCACAAAAUCCAUGGUGAUCUUUUCCCAUUUCCACACUAGAAUCGGUAGACUCUGCAGCUUCCCCGCAGGAACUCGAUGCUCAGCCUUCACCUGUUGGCAAGUUAGACAUCUAGCAACAAACUCACCAACAUCCUUUUUCAUCCCGGGCCACCAGUAAUGCAACUUCAAGUCCUUGUACAUCUUGGUGCCUCCCGAAUGUAUAGCAUACGGUGCUCGGUGUGCUUCUUGAAGAAUAUCCUCUUUGAUGCCCAAGUCCGCCGGUACACAAAGUCGUCCGCGGAAACGCAUCAAUCCAUCACCGUCUAAAGUGAAGUCACCGGUGCAACCAUCAACCAUCUUAGCUCGAAUCUUUUGCAACUCCGAGUCGGAAGCUUGCUUCUCUUUAAUCCUUUCCAAAAGUGUAGGUUGCACCACUAAAGUCAUCAGUCUCAAAGGUGUAUCAGGAGCCAACACCUCCAACUCCAACCGCUUCAUCUGCUCGAAUGAGUAACCACAAGCAUCGCUAAGUUCUCAGUCGAUUUCCUACUUAGUGCAUCCGCCACCACGUUAGCCUUGCCCGAGUGGUAAAGUAUCGUCAAAUCAUAAUCCUUGAGUAGCUCCAACCAUCUGCGCUGCCUCAAGUUCAACUCCUUCUGAGUGAAUAAAUACUUUAAGCUUUUGUGAUCCGUAUAUACUUCGCAUCGCUCGCCAUAGAGGUAAUGGCGCCAUAGCUUCAAUGCAAAGACUACGGCCGCCAACUCCAAGUCAUGGGUAGGAUAGUUCCUCUCAUAAUCCUUCAAUUGGCGAGAUGCAUACGCGAUCACUUUCCCGUCCUGCAUCAAAACACAGCCCAAUCCAUUAAAGGAAGCAUCACUAUAAAUCACAUACCCUGCUCCAGCAGUCGGCAAGGUAAGGAUCGAGGCAGUCGUCAAUCUCUGCUUCAACUCUUGGAAGCUCCUUUCACACGCAUCAUUCCAAAUAAACUUCGUUCCUUCAUGCGUGAGCCUCGUGAGGGGAGUAGAUAACUUUGCAAAUCCCUCAACGAACCGUCGAUAGUAGCCGGCCAAACCAAGAAAGCUCCGAAUCUCCGUGACACUCGUUGGCCUUGGCCAAUCCUUGAUAGCCUCAAUUUUCCUCGGAUCCACGGCGAUGCCUGAUCCUGAAAUCACAUGGCCCAAAAACGCCACCUCUCUAAGCCAAAAUUCAUACUUUUUCAACUGGGCGUAGAGCUUCUCUUCCCAAAGCACUUGAAGUACAAGUCUCAAGUGUUCCUCGUGAUCCGCAUCACUCUGGGAAUACACUAAGAUGUCGUCGAUGAACACCACGACAAACCGGUCUAAGUAAGGCUUGAAAACACGGUUCAUUAAAUCCAUAAAAGCUGCUGGGGCAUUAGUAAGCCCAAACGGCAUAACGGUAAACUCAUAAUGUCCAUACCGUGUUCUAAAAGCCGUCUUCGACACAUCCUCAGGCUUGAUCUUCAACUGGUGAUAUCCCGACUGCAAGUCGAUCUUGGAAUAUACACAAGAUCCCUGGAGCUCAUCAAAUAGAUCAUCAAUUCUCGGUAAUGGAUACUUGUUCUUAAUCGUGACUUUGUUAAGUUCACGAUAAUCCACGCACAAGCGAAGUGAUCCAUCCUUCUUUUUCACAAAUAGGACCGGUGCUCCCCAAGGUGAAACACUCGGUCGCACAAAACCCUUGUCCAGAAGAUCCUGCAACUGUGCCUUCAGCUCCUUCAAUUCUGCUGGUGCCAUCCUAUAGGGUGCCUUUGAGAUUGGGGUAGUCCCGGGGACGAGCUCUACUACAAACUCAAUCUCCCUAUCAGGAGGCAUGCCUGGAAGCUCCGCUGGAAACACAUCUCCAAACUCCCGCACUACGGGGAUAUCCUCAAUCCUAGGGGCGUCGUCCAUACCCCGCAACACAACAGUAGCCAAAUAGGCAACGCAGCCUCUACUAAUCAACUGCCGAGCUCGAGAAGAGCUAAUCGUCAUCGCAAAUAGCGAACUCUGGCAUCCUUGGUACACAACCUCCGCCUGCCCCGGCUCUCUAAAUGUCACCGUUCGAUUCUUACAAUCGAUGGUGGCAAAGUACUUGGUUAGCCAAUCCAUGCCCAACACAACAUCAAACUCCCCGAGUUUGUGCAAAGCUAGCAAGUUGUCACGCCCCGGGGUCCCUUUAGGUUAAAAACACAGCGGAAAUUUUUUUUUUUUUUGCAAACCUGACCCCAGGGUAUGCCAGAUCCGCCACAAAUACAGGGAAUCCACUGUUCACACGGACAGAGUCUCCCCUGUAUUUGCACGGCGUCGCACAAGUACAAGAGUAUAGCCAGGAAACAACCACAAACCAAAUGAAUAUAAAGAUAACUAUACAUUCAUACAUUCACCAUUCACAUCACAGUUUUACAUUCAGUGUUUAAAUAGAAAUUCACGAAAAUUCUUUUGAAAACUGUUCCCUACACGGAAACCUUUAUUCUUUAAGAAACGCUACCACGAGGGGUAGAAAACCUUUUAUUUCAAGAAAACACAAUUUCUUUAUUACAUUCCAAAACCAACUGAAAACUCAGAUAUUCAAAUAAUAAAACAAAACUGAACCAUGUAAACCGACUAAGCUAUAUAUAUCCACAGAAAUAAAAAGGGUAAUAGCUAAAUCGAAAUAACCUGGGUCGGAAGCUCUAUCAACCGCUACACACGUACCUCACGUCUCGUCCCACUACUCAACGCCCGCGAUACCUGAAAAAUGGUGGGGGAGGUGAGAACAUGUAAACAUGUCUCUCCUCCCAGUGGGUACCGCAAGCCGAAGAAGGCGAGGAGUACUCACCGGAUCAGGAAGAACUAUACAACAACACGGGUCAGUGAAAAUAAACAAGGUAAUGAGCAGAUAUACAAUAGCGAUAAACUGAAAGGAAGUAAGAACUGUACUGAAUAAACGGCUACCGCUACUGUAACUAGAACAGAAAGCAUACAUGAAUAUCUACUAUAGUAGCAAGACAACUAUAAGGUAAGAUCUGUAAGUAUGCAUGGAACGACCCCUACUAUAGACGUAUGCGUCAAUGGGACAAUCAGUCCAAAAGUAUCCAAUCUGAUACCAAUGCUCUCUUGGUCAGCACCGCAGACCUCAAGCCAAUACCCUGGAGGUCCGCACCGCAACACCUCCCGACAGUACCACUGCCGCUCUAACAUGCAUAUAACCCCUCGGGGCUCACGGGUUGACACCUGCAACCACUUUUCCGGAAAAGAACACUCCUUGCGGUGGAUCAGACCGCCAGUGUUCGUGAAAUGCGACAAGUAUCGGGCGAUCAAUGCAAUAUGCUCAACGAUCAACCGUCGGCAACCAACCGACAAUCCUGCCCCCCCCAGGGCCCAUCGACCGCAUGGGUCAUCAUGUAAACAAAUCGACCAACCAGGUCGUAAGUAUAUGGUAUAAAACUCGACCAACCAGGUCACCAGUACAGGAUAUGAAACUCGACCAACAAGGUCACAAGUAUAGGAUAGGAAACUCGACCAACUAGGUCCUAGAUACGACACGGAAGAAUCGACCAACCAGGUCGCCAGUAUAGAGUAUGAAACUCGACCAACAAUGUCACAAGUAUAAGAUAUGAACUACCGUCGGCCACUAGCCGACAAUCCGACCCUCAGGGUACACCGACCUCAACGGUCAUCGAACAACAGAAGUCAAAGGAUCAACCAACCAGGUCACUGAUACGAAGUACAAGAAACCACUAACCAGGUCACAAGUGUAGGAGAUGCAACGACGACCAACCAGGCCAUGAAGAUCAUAUACAGAUAAAGUCUACUCUACUCCUACACAUGAUACUACACCUGGCAACAACUAAGUAGAGUAAUAAGAAAACAGUAUGGGUGCAAGGCUCAACAUAUAUAUGGUAAAAGAUAUAAACAACAAGGGUAAAGGAAACGUCACCGAGCGUGCACCACUGUACCGACGUCGGAUCGAAGUACCCACCUGUACAACUGUCGCGCCUGUCUCCUGACUGCAGAAGAAUGUCAACCGGACCUAAGGAGGGUCCACUGGGUUAGUGUCUAAUCCACAACUAAGAAACCCUAAAAGCAUAACCCACAAGCAAUCCCACGGAGAUCGGUUUCCCAAUACCGAUUACCGUAACUCGCCGAAAGUCCCGAAAAUCGCACCGGGACUCCGUCGGGACCACUAAAAUGUCCCGGAACGCACCGACUCAUGAUACGAGUCACCCGCUGCCACAAAACACAUCAAAUAAGAUGUCUUGGCAGCAAUCCCAAAAUUUCGCCUCCAAACAAUUAUCGUCGGAUAAUCGUUCGGAUCCGGGUUUCCGAGAGUGUCUAUUUCGACACCGGAACCCACCGUCGCUCACCCGUCAUUUCCAAACCCCUGAAAUGACGUGAGUGACCAGCCAACAAGGCUCAGCGACUCAAGAAAUGCUCACGAGGAACCGUCGGAAGAAUUCCGAACCGAAACCGCGUUCUAUCGGCGGAUUUCGCCGAAAAACGCUCCGGAAAUCACUUUUCGAUUUCCACAAGGACUUGGGGCCUUGGACAAUCAGUCCAGAGGUUACCCACUACCCGCAAAUGCUUCCAACAGCAGCCACGACGAAUCAAAUUGCAUAAAAGCCCUCCCGAUUCUAAGAAAUCACAUUGUUUCAUGUAUUUUUUGGGCUUUUAUGGUCCGUCUACGCAAACCAGAGGUCAAUCAGCCGAGCUAAGAUAUCUAUUUACAGGUUUCGACGUGCCGGAGGCCGUGCUCACCUUUCGGAGCACUGCCAACCCUUUGUGGCAGUCGCACACACGACGCGAACCUCAGCGAAAUAGCCGUACAGCACUUACAUUGCGUCAAACUCGCAAACCAGGGCAUCGUUGACCCCAACGGAGGUGAGCAUGAUGUUCAGCACGAAGUAAGGAUGGCCGUGCUCACUUCCACUAUCAUCGGGGUGUCCUCGGAUUGCCGGAAAGGCAACCGAAAACCUCAAACAGUAAGCUGUAACCUAAAAACAGUCUUACCGGAGUGCAGGGAGCUAGGGUUAGCCGCCGGUGGCCGGGAGGCGGGCGGUCCGGCCGGAGAUGGAAGCAGUCGGUCCGAGAGGUCCGGGGAGGGUGAUGGCCGGCGGCGGGCGGCAACCGGUGGCGCGGCGGCUGAGAUCCACGCCUCCCACUCCUUCUCGGGUUUGAUCUUCCCGGCGGCGCGGCGGCGGCCGGAAGAGGUCGGGGUGGCGACGAACCGGCGGCGGAGGCCGAGGAGAAGGCGGUGCAACCCCCGGUUGGCGGCGGCGGCGCUUGGAAGCCGAGCGGACCCGACCUCGGCCCGCACGGGUCUGGGCGGCCGCAGGUGGUCUCAGCGGCGACCGGCGGCGCGCGGGGACGGCGGGGGACGAGCGCGCCGGGUUGCCGGAGGUUGCCGGGGUCGACAGGAGGGCGGCGCAGCCAAAGGGAGGCGUCGGCAGCUCGGGGAUACCGAGAUCACCCAGGCUCGGCCUGGGUGACUGCGGGUGGCCACAGGUAGCUGGGGCGGCGCCGGCGGCGCGUGUGGGCGGCGACGGCCGGCGGGGACGGCGCCGGGGAGAUCCAGGAGGGUGACGCUUCCAAUCCCGAGCGGCAGCAGGGCGAGGAGGAGGAGAUCCCACGGCCUCGGCCAGAUCUGCUUAGUUCUGGCCGCAUCUAGCCAGGGCGGUGAUGGCGGCGCUCGGGGGCGGCAGAGACGGCGCCGGGGUUAGGGUUGCAGCCUAGGACGAGGCCAGAGGCUAGUGGAUCUCUCCCUGAGGGCCACGACAGAGAUGAAGGGUCGAUCUAUGGUGGUUAGGUAUAGAAUAUGGUGGAGGAGAAGCCACCUGUAACAUACUGGACCUUUGCAAAUUGCGAGGUUCUAGUGAUUGAAUGUGUUUCGAGCUUUCCCACACUUGGUGGAGGGUUGUAAAAUGCUUUUCCGACCUAAAAAGUUCGUAAACUAGAAUUCUGGACAAGUCCUGAGAGUUUUUACUCUCGGGGACCGGUCCCUGGAAGGAGAGACCGGUCCCCCAAUGAGCAGUGUUGAGGCAGCCUGAGGCAACCGGUCCCUGGCAGGCGAGACCGGUCCCCGAGUGCGUCUUCGCAGUGAGAGACCGGUCCUGCACGGGGAGAGACCGGUUCCCGAACGUUGGUUUUUCGGGUUCGCAGCGAGAGACCGGUCCCUGCUGGGGAGAGACCGGUCCCUCUGGGCGAAAACUGCCCAGACCGGGCUGAUGCAAUAUUGAUUUUUUGAGGGGCCUCUCCAGAUUUUGUUACACUAGAUGGGCUUAUUAGCCAUUUCCUCCUCUUCCCUCUCUCAUUUUCUCAUUCUCACCCUCUCCCUACACUUUCUAGAGAGAGAAGAAGAAGAAGAAGGAGGAGAGAAAGAAGAGGAGCUAGUUUGAGGGAGCUUGGAGCUCAACCCCAUUCUCUCUUUUCCACCUUUGCAAGGCUUGGAGCUUGCUUGUAGAGCUUGGUGGUGGGCCAAUCUUCAACCCUAAAAGAUUUAGAGCUUGUUUGGAGGCAUUUUGGGAGGUUAGUACUUGGAUUCUACCCUUUGAUCCUUGGUUUGGUAGGUUUUACCAUUUGGAACCCUAGAAUGGGUAUUAGGGUUGAUUUUUGGGGCUUUUUGAUUUAGGGCUUGUGGGGCUAGAUUGAUUGGAUUAGAGCCUUCCUUGAGCUUGGAUUGGAAGGGUUUUAGCUCUCUUUUGGAGCUUUAGAAGAGAUUUCUUCUCUUGAGGUGAAUUUUGGCCCUAUUUGUUUCUAAAUUGAUGUUUGAUCUCAUGGUUGGUCGUAAUACUCUCGUAUCUCUUCGCUGAUCACUUUUAGGGUAUCUUGAGGCUCGUGGACAACUCCGUUCGACGAAUCGAAGGAGCACGCGACGGUUCGGUGGGUUUGGCCUAGCAUACAAUAUGAGAAAUGCUCAUAUUUGGUGUUAAAUGUUUCGUAAAGUUGAAAUUCUUGCAUUUUCAUGUUAAAUGUAAUUAUUAUGAAUUUUAGAAUGCUUAACAUGCAUAGGUUAUGUGUAGUAAAUUUUGGGACCUCUAUAUAGUAGAGAACAUGCAUGUGCGGCCUAGCAUUCUAGUUGAGACUUGAAAUUAUAAUCCCUAUUAUGAAAACGAACCUUGCUUUCAUGCAUUCGAACUAUAUACCAGAUGUGACAUUAGGGAUUUUUGGAAGCCUAGAGAGGCUUAGGGACUUAGAUGAUAUGUGAGAUUCGGCCAAUGUCAUGAAGAGGCAUUGGGGCCCGGGGCAUAGUGAGCAUUAAUGUUAAUGUCUUAAUUGGAACAUGAUUAGUUGUGAAGCUUAAGUGUCAUAAAGAGGCACUAAGCAAGUGUGUGUUGGGACUUCACAUUAUGACUCUGAACUAGAUCUUCGGGAUGCUAGUGACUAUACCAUGUUAGAGACAUGAGGAUUGGGUACUUGAGACAGUGACCUUGCUUGUUUGCCAUUUGUGCUCAUUCGCACAUGCUUGUGAGGGUCGCUCCCCACAAGCCGGCACUCCGGAGUUGGCCUCUGCGACUUUCGUUCGCUCGUGCGGUAUUGAGACGCCUACGGGGUCGAGUGGGACCGACACAUUCCAUGUGUAGGAAUGUCGGGCUACCACAGGCACUUAGGCGGCACAAGCCGGACUACCUUGGGUAGAUCCUUAAUUGGAAAUGAAAAUCGACACGGUUUGAGAAUGAAUGAUCACUACUAGAUAGGCUUAGUAGUUGGAUUACAUUUACAUGCUUUUAGCAUAGUGUGAGACAUGUAGUAUACUUGGUUGCCAUGAUAGAACUUCUACAUCGUGUAUUGACAAAGGUUAACAACAUUAAACUAGUGCAAUUGGACUUAAUUGUAAUGAUAGAAUAGAUGUACAUUUUGGUUGACAUCAUGCUUACUUGAGACACAGUAGACUAGCAUUUCAAUUAUGCUUUCUUUUAGCAGUUUAUUCACAUGCUCCUUACUACUUAUUAUUAUCGUUGCUUACCCUUAUUUUUGGGUCCUAGUGGAGCAUGAGCUGAGGUCAGUAAUUGCCCACUGGGAACUAUAAAUUAUAGUUCUCACGCCCUCUUUUUUUUCGUUGUUUUUCAGAGCCUUCCACACAGGGUGAGGCCAGGGAUCGCGGAAAGAGUAUUAUCUCGGGCUAGCGUGCUUACCGAGGGAUCGUUUGAUAGGUGGUCUACCUCUCUUUGUUUCUUUUGUGAGAGGUUGAGAGUUAUACCGGUGUACUAGAGACCACCAUUUUUGUACUAGAAGCAGAUAUUGUACUACUUAUGUUUCACUUUUAUGGUUUAGUUAUGCUCUUUUCCUAUUGUUAUAGAAGAUAGAAUCAUACUGCUCUGAUAUUAUUAGUUGUUACUCUUUCGUUUCUUUUACUUCUCGCUCUUACUUCCGCUUUUACUCUAGACGCCUUAUAUGUGUAGACAUAUGGCGGGUCUGAACACGCUACCGAGAGGGCCUCUGCCGAUCCCGGGGCGUGACACCACCCAAGCUUUUCCGGCGGCCGGGGGAGAUUACCGGCGGCCGGGGUACGCGCACGGCUAGGGCAGGAGCUGGCUGGUGUUGACUAGGGCAUAGCUAGGCAUUUGGGUCGGCUAGAUCUAGGGUUUCAUGCAAUGAAACCCUAGUCGCAACUUGUUUACAAGCGACAUUAUGGUUAAACGUCCCCCAAAGCUGAAUAUUUUCAGUUCAGACCCUGCUAGCACGUGUAAAAUGCACGAAUGCAUCCCCAUAACAGAUCCCGCGCAAGUCGGUUCAUAAAAUAUAACGACUUUUGUGAAUUUCCCGAUUUUCCACUCUCGACCCCUGAGCGAACAACAUGCAAUAUCCGACAAUCCGUUCAUCGGAUUUCCGAACGGAUCGCACCAUCGCGAUCAGCACAACGAGGGCAUCCAAACUACCAUCUUGUUUUGUCAGAUUUGGUCACGGAUUCGCGACGGAACCCACCCGCUCUCUAAUUAAUCCGUAUAUCGCGCAUAUACCGAAGUAUAAACCCUAAAACCUUUAAUCCAAAUUCAAAUUUGAAUUCCCUACCACCAGUAGGUACCAGAAACAACUCUCACCUAAUCCCAGGUCACAAGCACAGAGCACGAGGAGUUUUAAAAUGCACGAAUAGCAAAGAGCGGAAACCCUCUUUUUGUUAAAACUCCUUUUUCUCGAAAACCGUGCAUCGGAUCUGAAAUUCGUCAGUGCCAUUGGUUCCAGAAUAGCUGAGCCGUUCGAAACGAGCUAUUGGAGUCCUAUGCUCGGAGUCCGAUACGCGCCGAAAGCCAACUUUACUCCGUGGCUUCUCCGGAAAACCGGAGUUACUAUUUACUUUAAGUGAAAACUAAUAAUCGCGUAACUUCUCCGUUUUAGCUCAUUUUCUUCUGAAACUUGACGAGUGCUUAUGUAAUUAAAUUACACACAUAAACAUCGUCAACGGAGAGUUUAGUUGCAUUGUAAACAUCUCAGUCCUUACACAAGUCCACGGGCAUGAUCCAAUCUCCAAUCCUAACAGGGCAACUGGGGCAAAACUUCCGAAUGUCUAAAGAGUGAUCGGGUACAACAACUCGUCCAGGAUGCAACAAGGAUACAAGUGGGAUGCCAUGCAACUCGGCAAACAGCCGGUCUAUGAAUGAAUGCGAUGCACCGGUAUCAAACAAAGCUCUAACUCGAGUACCAUGAAGUAAAAUGAUACCUGCGACCACAUUCUCGGCUACCGCUGCCUCCUCAGUCUGGGCCCCGUACAUGCGCCCGCUCGGAGCCUGUCGUGACCCCUCCGUCUGUCGCUGGACCGAUGGCCGACCGGCCUGGUGAUGCGCAGAAGAUGUCCCCUGACUGGGACCUGGCGAAGCUGGGGCAGAUGCCGAAGAUGGCGCUGGCAAUGGACUCCUCGGGCAGUCCGACUGGAAGUGGCCCUCCUGGCCACACAAGAAGCACCUGCCCCGGCUGCGUGAACACUGCCGCGGGUAAUGAGGACCGCCACAGAUCACGCAGCGGGGAGCCUGACGACGAUCGGGUCCUCCUCGCUGAGUAGACUGGCCACGUCCUCGCGACUGGCUCCAGCUCCUGGGGUGCCUCGGCGGCCUCCGUGAGUGCGUCUGACUCGCACCCUCAGCCGCGGGUCUCUUUCCCUUGCCCUUGUCUAGGGCCUCGCGUCGCUCCUGCAGAUCUGCCGCUCCAGCCUCCACAAUAAGUGCACGGUCCACAACCUCCCGGUAGGUUUGGAGGUUGGAGGACUGCACCAACCGAAAGAUCGAAGGCCGCAAUCCACGCUAAAAAAUGCGGGCCUUGUCCUCAUCGUCCCGGACCACAAAAGCUACACAGUGGAGUAGCCGAGAAAACUCUCUCUCGUACUCGGCCACUGAUCACUCGUCCUGGCGCAAGCUGCGCAAAUCUUGCUCCAUCUUCCUCUUGACGCUGGUCGGGAAGUAGUGCGCCAGAAGGAGCUCCUUGAACCUCGUCCAAGUAAUCGCUGUCAAGUCGGUGUUGGGGUUGUCCUGGAUAUCCAACCACCAACGAUAGGCCUCGCCGUCCAGAAAGUGAGUGGCGAGCCAAACCCUAUCCCUCUCCAAAACGAAGGUAUCUCGAAAAAGCUUCUCCAUAUGCAUCAACCACUUCUCAACAAUUCAGUGGUCGACGUUCUCGCCAUCGAAGAUCCUCAGGCUGCACCUCCUGAACUCACUGAGGCGAUCCAUGAGCUGAUCCCGCUCGGCUCCCUCGGCCAUCACGGGAAAUGCCGCCCCCGUCACUGGUCUCUGAACAGGUAGUGCUGCAGCCACCUCCUCCCGAGGUGCGGUCGCCCGUGCUGCACGUGAAGAACUGGGCGCGGGGGACUGCGCCCUCGGUGCGACGUCCACCACGGGUGCUGGCGGUGUGGGGCCCUGGGUCUCCCUCGAAGCUGCCGCCUGCUGCAGUAGGAGGUCCUUAAGAUGCUUCAUCCGCACCUCCUGCCGCUGAGCUACCUCAGCCUGUCGCUGCGCCGCUGCCGUCUGCUGCGCCAACAGAUCAGUAAGAACCACAAGUUGGGCCCUCAAGUCACGGACCUCACUAGAUCCGGAAGUAGUGGAGGUCUCGACCUCCUCGGGGUGUGCCGCAUCAUCCGCCCCGGCAGACUGGGAGGGUGUAACCGGCAUCGUCACUACAAAACAUAAAAGCGCAAGUUAAUAACCCACACUAUUGCAUCCCCGCUCAAAACGAUAAAACCCAAAUCAUGCGAAAGUAGGGAAGUGUCCUUAACUACUAACUCCCGAUGUUAUGUUGUCGGCCGCCAACGUAACCCUCCGCGAAGUUAGGAGCCAUACACUCCGAUCAAACUCUAAGUUUUUAGAGUUAUCAAGACACCUGUAAGGACUGAGAUUUUUACAGUGCAACUAAACUCUCUGUUGAUGAUGUUUAUGUGUGUAAUUUAAUUACAUAAGCACUCGUCAAGUUUCAGGAGAAAAUGAGCUAGAAUGGAGAAGUUACGCGAUUAUUAGUUUCACUUAAGUGAAUAGUAACUCCGAUUUUCCGGAGAAGCCACGGAGUAGAGUUGGCUUUCGGCGCGUAUCGGACUCCGUUCAUAGCGAUCCAAUAGCUCGUUUUGAACGGUUCAGCUUUUCUGGAACCAAUGGCACUGACGGAUUUUAGAUCUGAUGCACGGUUUUCGAGAAAAUCUGAAAUUACAUGUUUCUUAUGUAAUUGUGCAUCAUUUUGGCCUUUUGGAGAGAGAAUGGAUUUCGUCGUGAAUCGGAGAUCAAAUCUGACGAAACGAAAUGCUAGAUUCGAUGCCUCGACGUGCUGAAUGCGUUGGCGUGAUCCGAUCGGAAAUCCGAUGGACGGAUCUUUUGGAAUUGCAAUAAGUUGGCUAAGGGGUCGAGAGUGGAAAAUCGGGAAAUUCGCAAAAGUCGUAAUAUUUUAUGUACCGAAUCGCGCGAGAUCGAUUGUGGAGUUGCAAAAGCGCGAGAGUUACCCAUUGUGAAGGACUAGGGUUGAAAUUUGUAGUUCAGGUGGACUUUUGUGCAAUUUGCACAUUGCAUACAAUGUGCAUCUAGGGUUCUUUUGCAAGAAACCCUAGAUCUAGCCGACCUAGUUACCCAACCGUGCCCUAGAUAGCCCCAGUAGGUCCCUGCCCUACCUGUGCUCAUGCCCAGACCUCCGGCGAGCAACUCCGGCCGCCGGAAAACUCAUGGUCAUCUUCCUCUCCUCCCCUCUCGGCCACCCUCUCCUCCUCUCUGCCGAAGUUGCUAGGGAAGCGACCACAGACCCUCUUGGAAGCUUCCUGGGAAGAUAUCUCCCUCUCCGGCGCCGGCACCGGCCAUCCCCGCCGUCCUCGCGCACCACCGGCGUCGCCCAAGCAAGCCGCGGGCAACCCAGACGAGCUCGGCCCGAGCAGACCUUAGCUCGAGGCUUGCGAGUCGUAGCAGCCCUAGCUCGGCCGCCCUGCCUCAUCUAGCCUCCGGCGUGAUCCCGCGCGCCAUUGCCGCUGCUCCCGACGCCGCCGGCCGCCGCCCCUGCUCUCUGCGGCCACCCAGACCGAGUACGGGUCGAGCCGGGGCUAGCCUGCCUCCGCACGCCGCCGCCGUUCCUCGCUGGCCGAGUCGCCCUUACUCCACCUCUGGCGACGUGCCGCCGUCGCCCCGACCCUCCUCCGGUUGCCGCCGUGGCCGCCGCUGCCCUAGGAGCCGAGGUGAACCCGCGGGGGCUGGGGUUGUUCCAGCGCCGCCAUCGCCGCCUUCCGCCGCCGGCCAGCGUGAUCGCCGGCUCCGCCUGGCCGGCCGCACCCGUCCACCGCCGGCUAACCCGCCGCCGGAGCUCCCUAUCAACCAUGGUGAGCCCAUGCUCUGCUCGUGUUGUGCGACUAGGGCAUCAUUGCUCGCCGUCGUCGCCGCCUCCCGUCGCCUGUUGACGCGAACCCCGGCCUCCUCUGACCUGGAGCACCUUCUCCUGGCCGGCCCACCGUCCGGCCACCGCCGGCCACCCCGAGCCCUGCCUAGCUCCGAUAAGCUUGUAUUGCAAUUAUUCUGCACCUUGUCUUGGGGUUCCGGUCAUUGUUCCGGUGAACCGAGGCCAACCCGAGUCCUCUGAAGGUGAGCACGAUGAUCCUGGUUCAGUGCUGAUCAUCGUGGCCACCUACAUUGGAGUCUAAGAGCUUCUGAUUUGCGAGAUAAGCAUGUUCUUCAUGCUGUGCGCGCUGUUCGCAGAUUUUCGUGUCACUCCCGCGCUCUCCGCUGUGGCCGAUAUUGCUCCGAAAGGUGAGCACGGCCUCCGGCACAUCGAAACCUGUCAGUGGGUAUUUUGACUCGGCUGAUUGAUCUCUGGUUUGCGUAAACGGACCAUAAAAGCGGCGAAAUCGCAUGAAAUAAUGUGAUUUCGGGUAUUCGGAAGGGCUUUUAUGCAACUUUGUCCGUCGUGGCUGCUGUUGGCAGCAAGUAUGGGUUGAGGAUAACCUCCGGACUGAUUGUCCAAGGCCCCGGACCUUUGCGAAGAUCGAAAAUGCAUUUCCGGAGCGUUUUUCGGCGAAAUCCGCCAAUAGAACGCGUUUUCGAUUCGGAAUUCUUCCGACGGUACUUGGGGAUCAUUUGUUUCAUCGCUGAGCCUUGUUGGCUGGUCACCCGCAUCGUUUCGUGGGUUUGGAAACGAUGGGUGAGCGACGGUGAAGUUCCGGUGCGGUUUUCGGGACUUUCGGUUUGUUCGGUAAUCGAUUUUGGGAAAUCGAUUCUCGUGAGUUUAUUUGUGGGGUUAUGCUUUUAGGGUUUCUUAGUUGUGGGUUAGACACUAACCUAGUGGACCCCCCUUAGGUCCUGAAGACGUUCUUUUGAAGUCAGAAGACAGGCGCGACAGUUGUACAGGUGGGUACUUCGAUCCGACGUUGGUACAAUGGUGCACGCUCGGUGACGUUUCGUUUACCCUUGUUGUUUAUAUCUUUUACCAUAUAUAUAUGUUGAGCCUUGCACCCAUGCUGUUUCCUUAUUACUCUCUACUUAGUUGUUGCCGGGUGUAGUAUCAUGUGUAGGAGUAGAGUAGACUUUAUCUGUAUAUGAUAUUUAUGAUUUGGUUGGUCUGAUCUCCUAUGUGAUCUCCAUGACCUGGUUGGUCGACGUUGCAUCUCGUACACUUGUGACCUGGUUGGUGGUUUCUUGUACCUCGUAUCAGAAACCUGGUUGGUCGGUCCUUUGACUUCUGUUAUCCGAUGACUGUUGAGGUCGGUAUACCCUGAGGGGUCGGAUUGUCGGCAAGUGGCCGACGGUAGUUCUAGAUUAUAUACUUGUGACCUGGUUGGUCGUUUUGGUUACAUGAUGACCCAUGCGGUCGAUGGUUCCAUAUUGAUAUCAUGCUUAGGAGUAGAGUCGACUUAUCUGUUCACUAUAUCUGUGAUUUGGUUGGGCGGUUCCCCUAUUUUGAUAUCUAUGACCUAUUCGGUCGAGUUGUUACAGUUCUAUCUUGACAUACGUAGCCGACUAGUUGUUGAUGGCCUAUACGGUCGGUGUGCCCUAAGGGACUGGAUUGUCGGCUAGUUGCCGAUGGAAGAUCUUUGAGCAUACUACAUUGAUCGCCACUGCAGGUACGCAUUUCACGAACACCAGCGGUCUGAUCCAACGCAAGAGGGUGUUCUUUUCCGGAAAAGUGGUUGGAUUGCCAACCUGUGAGCCCAGGGGCUUUAUUGCGAGGGUAUAUACUUCUGACCCAGGGGCUUCAUUGCGAGGGUCAGGUACUAUGCUUCUGACCCAGGGGCUUCAUUGCGAGGGUCAGGAACAGGUUGAGCAGUGUGGCAUGGGCCUGAGGUCUUCGGACCAAUAGGGCAACGAGAUUGGGUACUGUUGAGAUUAUCGUUAGUUGACGCAUAUGUCUAUAGUAGCAGUCGUGCAUGCAUAUUUACAGUUCUUACUUUAUAGUUGUCAUGCUACUAUAGUAGAUAUUCACGUAUGCUUUCGGUUCCAGUUACAGUAGCGGUAGCCGUUGUUCAGUCUAGUUCUUACUUUCUGUCAGUUUAUUGCUACUGUAUUUAGUAUAUCUGCUCAUUACUUUAUACAUCUCUUUCGCUUACUAUUGUUCCUACUGUAUUUCCACUGACCCGUGUUGUUGUAUAGCUCUUCCUGAUCCGGUGAGUACUUCUCGCCUUCUUCGGCUUGCGGUACCCACUGGGAGGGGAGACAUGUUUACAUGUUCUCACCUCCCCUACCAUUUUUCAGGUAUCGCAGGCGGUGUGUAUUGGGACGAGACGCAAGAUAUGUACGUAGCGGUCGAUAGAUCUUCCGACCCAGGUUGUUCGAUUUAGUUUCUACUCUUACUAUUCUGUUGUUAUAGCAUGAUAGCUUGUAUGGUUCAGUAUUUAUUUACAUUUGAAAAUGUGGAUUUUCAUGAAUGUAAUAAAAGGAUUUCUGGAUUUGGUAAACUAAAAAGUUUUCUACCCCUCGUGGUAGCGUUUCUGAAGAAUAAAGGUUUCCGUGUAGGAAACAGUUUUCAAAAGGAUUUUUCGUGGAUUUCUGUUUAAACAUUGAAUGUAAAACUGUGAUGUGAAUGGUGAAUGUAUGAAUGUAUAAUUAUCUUUAUACUCAUCUAGUUGUGGUUGUAUCCUGGUUGUACUCUUGUACUUGUGCGACGCCGUGCAAAUACAGGGGAGACUCUGUCCGUGUGAACAGUGGAUCUCCUGUAUUUAUGGCGGAUCUGGCAUACUCUGGGGUCAGAUAUAUAUUAAAAAAAAAAAAAAAUUCAAACGCUUUUCCGCUAUCUUUUAAACUGAAAGGGACCCCGGGGCGUGACAACACCCAAUCAGGAUACUUUCGAUCACAAGUCAAAUAGGCCUCGUCUCUCACGAGCCUAUUUCCUACAGUCCAACCGGCCUAAGGUUUGCUAGGUCCACUAAGACUCAACCCUAGGCUCUGAUACCAAAUUUGUCACGCCCCGGGACCGGCGAAGGCCCUGCCGGUAGCGUGCCCAGACCCGCCAUAUGUCAACAUAUAUAAGGCGUCUAGAAUAAAAGCGGAAGUAAAGCAAGAAAUAGUACAAAUAGAGCAGUAACAACUAGUGAUAUCAGAGCGAGCAAAGUUCUAUCAUCUAAGCAAGAGUAGAGAAAGCAUAACUAGACAGUAAGAGUAAACAUAAGGUAGUACAAAUAACAUCUCCUCAACAGGAAUACAAGGAUCCAAAAGAAGGGUGGUCUCUCUACAAAUACGGGUACAACUCACAACCUCUCACACAAAAAAAAAAAAAACUACGAGAGGUAGACCACCUAUCAAAUCGUCCUCAAAGGGAGCUAGCUCGAAGCAACUCCCUUCCCGCCGUCCCUAGCCUCUCCGGCGUGGAAGGCUCUGAAAGAAAACACAAAACAGAGGGCGUGAGAACUAUGAUUUAUAGUUUCCAGUGGGCAAUUACUGACCUCAGCUCAGUGCACCACUAGGCCCCAAAAGAAAGGGUAAGUCUAACAAUAAUAGUAACGAGUAAAUUGCAUAUUGGAAAGCAUAAUAAUUAAAAUGCUAAACUACGACUUGCAAUUAAACAUGGCAUUCCUAAUGCGACUUUAUCUUGUCAUGGAUAUUUAUAUAUUCACAAGUAAUAUAAUGCUUUACUUUAUACAGAUAUGAAAGUAAUACUUGGUCAUGACUACAAUGCAUAUAAGGAUGCAAUAAACAACAUCUCCUAGCAUACUACAUGUAUGUAUGAAUACCCGAAUGUCCACAACUAUGCUAGAAGUCCAAGUAAUCCUACUACUACUCUCUGACUAGUAGUGAUCAUAAUAAACUCAACACCGUGUCGAUUUCCAUUUCUAAUUAAGGACCAACCAAAGGUAGUCCAGCUUGUGCCGCCUAAAUGCCUGUGGUAGCCCGACAUUCCUACUCUUGGAAUGUGUCUGUCCCACUCGACCCCGUAGGCUUCUCAAUACCGCAUGAGCGAACAUAGGUCGCGUAGGCUAUCUCCGGAAUGCCGGCUUGUAGGGAGCGACCCUCACAAGCAUGUGCGAAUAAGCACAAAUGGCAAGCAAGCGUAGUCCAAGUCUCAAGUGUCCAAUCCUCAUGUCUCUAACAUGGUAUCAUAACUAGCAUCCCGAAGAUCUAGUCUAAGUCACAAGAUGAAGUUACAACAUUCAAUACGCCUAGUGCCCCUUGAUGACACUUAGACAAUCUAAUGUUCAACAUAUCCCCAAUCCCUCAAUGGCUCUAACCACUAGGUUCACACAUGUCCCGAGCUCAAUGCCGCUUGAUGACAUUAGCUCUCCAGUUCACCUACAUUCUAGUUCGAUAGCUCUAUAAGGCAAUUUUGUCAACUUUCAUGUCUCAAAUAAACUUAGGUUUAAAUGCAUGAAUCGAAUCUCAUUUACACUAUAGGAGCAUGAAACCACGUUUCAUAUAGAAUGCUAAGAGCCACUAUAGGCCUACCAAGCUACUCUCUACUACAUAGAGGUCCAAAAUUUCAUCAUAUAUAACAUAGGCCUUUUAAACAUUCUAAAAUUCACAAUAAAUACAUAUAACAAGAAUAUGCAUGAUUUUUCAUUUGACGAUACUUAAUUAGGAACAAAUGAGAAUUUCUCAUUGUGUGGCUAGGUCAAACCCACCGAACCGUCGCGUAGGGCCUCGUUUCGCUGAACAAAGUUGUCCCCGAGUUCCAAAAUACCCUAAAAGGAUUGAGUGAAAAGAUACACGGGCAUUACGACCAACCAUAAGAUCAAACAUUAACCUAGAAGCAAAAAGGGCCAAAAUUCACCUCAAGCGAAGAAAUCUCUUCCAAAGCUCCAAAAGAAAGCUAGAACCCUUCCAAUCCAAGCCCAAGGAAGGUUCUAAUCCAAUUAAUCUAGCCCCAAAAGCCCUAGAUCAAAAAGCCCAAAAUCAAACCCUAAAUCUCAUUUCUAGGGUUUCAUCUACAAAAACUUUCAAAACAAGAUCNNNNNNNNNNNNNNNNNNNNNNNNNNNNNNNNNNNNNNNNNNNNNNNNNNNNNNNNNNNNNNNNNNNNNNNNNNNNNNNNNNNNNNNNNNNNNNNNNNNNAAACUGAAAAUAGCAUCUAUAUAAAACCUCGGGGGUUCCGGUACAUAUAAAAUCCAAGAUACGAACAUCCCUCACUCCAGCGAGCAAACCAGCAUAAGUAUGUACAUGAACCAAAAUACCCCAAAACUAUCUGUAGAUGGUACUCCUCUCGUACUGCAACCAGGGAAGGGAUCUAGCUCGCGAUUUCCUUUCCACGAUCAGAAUCGGCGAUAGCAGCAGCCGCAGAAGAAGGCUCUGCAAAAAGGGGUCAAUAACUGAGUGUGAGAACUACUGCAAAAAGGAAUAGUCCUCAGUGGGUACUACUACCGAUCUCAACGGCUCACCCACUAAGUUUACAGAAAGUAUGCACAAGGAUAGUAAAGGAAGCUGGUAAAACUCUACAGCUAUAUGUCACUAUACUAGUGCUAACCAACACUAGCAAUCUGUAGAUAUAAGCAAGAUGCAAUCUCUGAUCCAAUCUCACUAGGGACUGUGAACACACUCGUCCCGCCUGUUGAAGCUACACCAACCACCACCACGCUAAGUUGUCGGUGGAGAGCAAGUCCAACCAGGACACUACGACAUCAACGCAAAAGCACAAAGCCCAAUUCUGGAGUGGCACUCGUGGGCGCUACCCAACCGAGUAUGCAAGCGUGUCUCUGUUGAGCUGUAAGGACUGAGAUUUUUUGACAGUGCAACUAAACUCUCUGUUGACGAUGUUUAUGUGUGUAAUUUAAUUACAUAAGCACUCGUCAAGUUUCAGGAGAAAAUGAGCUUAAACGGAGAAGUUACGCGAUUAUUAGUUUUCACUUAAGUGAAUAGUAACUCCGGUUUUCCGGAGAGGCCACGGAGUAGAGUUGGCUUCUGGUGCGUAUCGGACUCCGUUCAUAUCAGUCCAAUAGCUCAUUUCGAAGGAUUCAGCUAUUCUGGAACUACUGGCGCUGACGGAUUUUGAGUUUGAUGCACGGAUUUCGAUAAAAUCCAAAAAUACAUGUUUUAUAUGUAUUUGUGUGUGUGUUUCCUUCUAUUGGAAAAAGGUUGGAUUUUGUUGUGAAUCCGUGGUCGAUCGAGAUGAAUCGAAGGUGUAGCUUUGUUGUCUCUGAGGUGCUGAUCGCACUGGUGCAAUCCGUUCGCAAAUCUGACGGACGGAUCUGCGGAGAUCGCGCGUUGAUCGAGGAGAGGUCGGUGUUGGCAAAACGGUAAUUUCGCAAAAGUCGCGACAUUUUAUGUACCGUUUCGCGUGAAAUCGCACGUAGAGGGGUAUUCGCGCGUUUUACUUGUGCUGUGAGGGACUAGGUUUGAAAUUUGUAGUUUCGGUGGAUUUUGGUGCAAAAUUGUACCUUGUGUAUAAUGUGCAUCUAGGGUUUCUUUGCACGAAACCCUAGAUCUACUCGACCCAGCUCCCCAUCUGUGCCCUAGCCGACCUCAGAGUAGCCCUGCCCUUGCCAUGCUCUCACCCCGACCGCCGGCAGGUGCCCGGCCGCCGAAAAACUUGAACUCGGCCACCCCCUCCAUCUUUCUCUCUCAACCAAUCCACCUCUACUUCUCUGCCCGUGGACCACCUGGGAGAUCAUCACCUUGGGCCCCCAUCCCCUGGCCAUGCCCGACCUCCGACGAAGCCCCGGCGCCGGCCCGGUCGUCCCUGCGCAUUGCCGCCGCCGCCUAGGCAGGCUACGGCCAGAUCUAGGCAGAUCUGGCCCAGGAGCUUUAGCUCCCUGCUAGCUUUGCCGCCGCCACUUUGGGACGGCCGAGACGCCCUUCCCCGGAGCCCCGGCGACCUCCGCCGCCGGCCCCACCGUCUGCGCACGCCGCCGGAGCCGCCCCAGCUCCCUGCGGUCACCUGCUAUCACCCAGGCCGAGUCUGGGUGAUCUUUGCAUCCGCGCGCCACCACCGCUCCCCGCUGGCCGCGCCGCCAUCCUGGAACCUCCGGCGACCUCCGGCGUGCCUCCCCGUCGUCCCCGCGCGCCGCCGGUCGCCGCUCGUGCACCCUGCGGCCGCCCAGAGCUUGCGCGGGCCGAGGCCGAGCCACCUCGGCCACCGCACGACGCCGCCGCCCACGGAGGGGUGCACCAUGACCCCCUCAGCCUCCGACGACGGAUCAACGUCGCCCCGACCUCCUCCGGCCGCCGGGAAGCCUUGAACCCGAGAGCUGUUGGCGGAAUUGAUCUCCUCCGCCGCGCCACCGGCCGCCUCCCGCCGCCGGCCAGCAGGUUCCCCGGACCCGUUGGACCAGCCGCACCCUUCCCUUGCCGGAGCGCACGCCGUCCGACAGCCGCCGGCCGUGCCCUAGCUCCACCCUGUCCCGUAAGCUGUUUUCAGCCUGUCUGCGCACUAGUUCCUUGUUUAGAUCACUGUUCCUGCGACCUGAGGCUGUUCCGAUGCCUCCGGAGGUGAGCACGGUGAUCGUCAGUCAGUCCUGAUCACAGUGCUCACCUCACUUAGGGUCAAUGAGCCCCUGGUUAGCGAGAUAAGCAUGCUUUUCCUACUGUGCGCGCUGUUUCACUAAUUUUGCGUCGCCCGUGCGCGUGCCACAGUGGCCGGCAGCGCUCCGAAAGGUGAGCACGGCCUCCGGCACGCCGAGACCAGUCAGCGGGAGUCUUGCCUUGGCUGUUUGACCUCUGCUUUGCGUGUACGAUCCAUAAAAGCCAUGAAAUCACAUAAAAUAAUGUGAUUUCAUGUGUCGAUAGGGGCUUUUAUGCCGUUUUCUUCGUCGUAGCUGCUGUUGGCAACGAGUUAGGGCUGAGGAUAACCUCUGGACUGAUCGUCCAAGGCCCCAAGCCUUUGCAAGUGUCGGAAAGAGACUUUCGGCGCGUUUCUCGGCGAAAUCCGCCGACGGAACGCGGGAUCGGUUCGGAUUCCUUCCGACAGUGCUUCGUGAUGAAUUGUGUAGUCGCUGUGCCAUGUCGGCUGGUCACUCGCAUCAUUUUGAGGGUUCGGAAAUGACGGGUGAGCGACGGUAGGUUCCGGUGUCGAAAUAGACACUUCAGGGAACCCGGAUUCGUACGAUUAUCCGGCGAUGAUCGUAUGGUUGUGUCACCUCGUGUCCGCUGCCAAGGCAUCCAAAUUGGAGUGUUUUGGGGCAGCGGGUGACUCGUGGCACGAGUCGGUGAGUUCGGGACACUUAGUGGGUCCCGACGGCGUCCCGGUGUGGUUUUCGGGACUUCCGGUGAGUUACGAUGAUCGGUUUUGGGAAACCGAUACGGGGUUCUGUGUGGGGUUUGUGAGACAGUGUACUUCAGGUGAGUGGGUUGGUUACUGACCCGUGGGAUCUUCGUAGGUCCGGUCGACUUGUGCGUACCCAGUGUUCCGACGCGACAGUGACAGGUGGGUACUUCGAUCCGAAGUCGGUACAGUGGUGCACGCUCAGUGAUAUUUCUUCUAUUCCUGUUCUUCUAUUGCUAUUUUCGUAUUAUAUAUUGAGCUUGCACCCCCGUUGUUUCUAUCAUACUCUACUCAUAUGUUUCUAUGCUUAGUAUCAUGUGUAGGAGUAGAGUAGUUUAUCCUUAUGUGAUACCGGUGACCUGAUUGGUCAGUUCUCGUACUUCAUUUCAGUGACCUAGUUGAUCGGUGCUUUUAUCUUAUAUCUGUUGACCUGGUUGGUCGGUUGUUGCAUUAUGUAUUGGGUUGGUCUAUUUGUUGACUUCUGUCGUUCGAUGACCUUUGAGGUCGGUGUACCCUGAGGGGUAGGAUUGUCGGCUGGUGCUGACGGUAGUUCUGGACUAUAUCGAAUACACUCCUGUGACCUANGAACAAAAUAAUAAAAAAUAAAAAAUAAAAUAGGAUACGAAAGUAUUAUACUUUAAAUCACACACUACAAUAAAUAGGGCAUAUAGCAACAAUUAUAAAACUGUCGCUAAAAGUAAAAAAAUUGUCGCUAUAAUGCAUAGCGGCAGUUGUAGCGGCAGUUUUACAACUGUCCCUUAUAAAGCAGUCGCUAUUUAAUAUAGCGGCAGUUUUAAACCGUCGCUAUUAUUUAGCGACAAUUAUUUUAAAAUAUUACAACACUUUGAUAACCGCCGCUAUAUGUAUUUCUUAAGUCAAUUUCGAUGACUUAUAGCGGCUAUUUUUGAAUUGUCGCUUUUAAUUUCAAUGAAUAGCUACAUUUUUUCAACCGCCGCUAUAUGUCUAUACAUGUUGAUUUUAUUAAUUUUGUAGCAACAAUUCUCCAACCGCCGCUAGUAGCUUAAGUUAAGUAAUUUUAUCAUAGCAAUUUUUAACGUCCAGUUGAGAUACAUAAUUAAAUUUUAUAAGAGCAAUUUUUAAUCGCCCAGUGAGAUAUCUAAAUAAAAAUAUAUAGCAAUCUUAAUACUUUUUCCACAUAUGCAAAUAACAUUUAAAACUUAAUUUUUAAAUAAACUCUAAUAGCAUGCCUUAUCAAUAUAAAAAUAAAAAAGUACACUUUUAUUAUUUAAAAAUAUAAAAGUACCACCCACUAACUAAUCAUUCAAACAAAAUUAAAAUGACAAAUAGUCUUGAUAUAAAUUGUAUCCACAUGUAGCAGCACACUCAUUAAUAUUCAGGAAAAGGAAAAAAAAAAAAAACAAAUUCUUCAGUAGCCCAAAGUUCUUCAACAUUGAUCACGUAUGAAUAUAUUCGACCUGCAAAAUGAAGACAUAAAAAUAUAUAAAGUCUUCAUUACAAUAUCAUCAAAUCUGAACCAUAAGAACUUCAAAAUAGUAUAUAUUGUACUUACGAAAGUAGAAGGCCAUGCAAUAGUCUGGAGCACAGCAUCUCCAAUAGUUUUGAACUUUCCAUAUGAUCUAAUUAACUUUUCAGAAGGAAUCAUUGCUAUUUCAAUAUAAAUUUCCCAAAACUGAUUUCCUAACUUUUCACCCCCUACUUGCGUAGUUGGAUCUUUACUUAUAAGAGUUCCUUGUGCAACACUAUGAUAAGGCCUAAAAGGACUUUUUAAAAUCACCUCCGCUCUCUCCUGCAAGUUUGUAGGAUAUAUAAUUAUAUCAAUAAUAUAUAUUUAGUUUUUAAAAUAAUAUUGCAAUAUAGUACUUGUAAGAAAAGAAAGAAUUAUGAAUUUGAUCUCCAAGUUGUAUAAAUAAUAAUUUGAAAAGUAAAUUGCUCAUUGUUAUAUAUGAUACUUUACCUGUGUAGAUGUCACAUUUUUUAUCGUCCUUCUAUUUACCUUAAGUACCUGCGAGUAUGAUAAAUUUUUAAAGGACGACUUUUAAUCAUUUUUAUUUAAUACUAAUAAUUUGAAUAAAUACAUAAGCAAAAAAAUUACUUUAUCAUAUUUUGCACAUUUAUAUACCUGACGUGGUGGAACGAGAUGACUGGAAGAAGAUGAUUCAAUUUCUUGUUGUGAAUUUUCUUCGGGAGAACAUUCAUUUUCGUAAUUCUAUACAAAAUAAAAAUUAUUAUCAUAAUAUUAAGAUAAUAAAAAUAUAAAUAUAUAACUAAUUUUAAAAUACCUGUCGGUCCUUUAAGUGAUCGGAUUGUGGUUUUGUACGCCUCGAUGUAGGUGGGUUUUCACUUGUCUUAGUUUGCGUGUGGGAUACAGUUUUAAACAGGUUUUCGUAUGUUUUUUAUGAAUUCNUCCAUUAGUGUUUAAAAAUUUCAGCUUCCUUUUUGUGAUCACUUUUCCAUCGGAUGUUUGUUGUAUUUUGUCAUUGCAUCAUCCAUCUCCUUAGGAGUGCUUAUCGGCUUGCAUCAUUCUAAGGAUUGUUAGCUGUAUGUCAAUGCGUAUCAUGCUUUGUUUGUUGAUUGGUAAAUGUAGGUUGUGGUUGAGAUCCUGUUGUAUAGCUGGUACGGCGUCCUAAUACCCAGAAGACUCUGUCCGAGUGGAUCGAUGUACUUUGUCUUUGUGGCGGGUCUGUACGUCGCGUGGGCCAGGUUAAAGAUAUCUUCUGGGCCAAUGUUACGUUUUCCGUUACUCUAUUUUACAAUUUAGCUUUUAAAAUCGGCUCCGGGGCGUGACAUAUCCGUUUCUGCAAAUAAUGUCAUGUUACAAUACAAUUUAUAAUAAAAUAUUUUAGACAAUAAAAAUAUGAUAAAUAUUUGUCAAUCUACAUACAAUGUGAUCGCUUGAUGCUUUAUUCAUUGGUUCUUUGUUCUUUUUAGUGUGGGUUAGCACGAAAAUUUCUGCUCUAGAAAGCUCUUUCCCUCCUCUGUUUGCGCUCUGUUAAGCAUGCAAUAAUGAUAUGAUAAAUUAAACAUAUUUAUCUUGUUUUUUUUUUUUAAAAAAGAAGCAUACCUCAUCAUGAUUUACGCGUGCAAAACUUUUUGUGCCGGCAGUGUGAGUUGUGACAAGUUUUGAACGGUUAAGUUUGUUUGUACUACUCCUUUGCUGUAAUAAAUAUAAGACAAAAAUUGGCAAUUGUAUCAUUUAGUUUAUAUAAAAUAUAUAUACUAAGUAGACAUUUAACUAGAGUUUAAAACAAACUAAUAGUUAUCUAUAAUACCUGUCCCUCGGGAGAGCUCCAAAAAUAAACUAACUUCUCCCAUUGUUCCGGAAUGACAGUUUCUGGGCAAUUGGCAAUUCUUUCUUCAUCUGUUUUAUAUAUUUCAUAAAAUUUGCGCUUCAGCAUACAUUUAUAAUCCUUCCAUUUUUUUCCAAGGGAUUUUAUAAUCCACUCUUUGUAAUCUUCAAUACCAUCAAAUUUUGACUGCACAUAGCAAAUAAGCAUAUUACUAUUAAAUUAAUUUUGUCACAUAAAAUUACAGAAUGCACCAUUAUACUAAAUUAUUAGUUACAUACCAUCAAAAUAUUCCACAAUAAAUCUUUAUUAUCAGUUGGUACAGCUCUCCAGUCAUUAUAAUCAAGAGGUGCUUCCAUUCCCUUUCGAGCUAAUACUCCAAGAUAUCCUAUAAGCUUUUUAGCACUAUCACCAACUGGUUGCCCUUUAUCAUUAAAUGUUAUUUUAAUAAAUUUACCCUCUGGUAGUGCCCAUAUCUCAUCCAUUCUUCUUGGCCCGCGCUUUCUCUUUAAUGCAGAAUCCUUUUCUACAAUAUACAAAAUAUGUCAAGCUUUGUAAAAUCAUAAAUUUUAUUGAAUAGGAUAAUUAACAAGAUAAUACAACCUUUUGAAGUAUUUUCUUCUUGAUUAUAUAGUUGCUGACUGCUUGUUGGAGUUAGGCCUGAAGGUGGUUCGCGUUGCCUUGGAAUUGAUUGUCGUUGAUCUGUUGUAUUAGGAUGAGAAUGUAGAUUUGAUGUUGAAUGAUUUGAAAAACGUCUAUAAUGUUGUUCUUGUUGGUCGGAGAAAUUAGGAUGAAGGCCAAUUGAACAAUCUUAUUGCAUCACCAAACCACUUCUCGUAGAAUGUUCUGUAUAACGUGGUUGAGACCGAAUUUCUCCACCAAAAAUCAGUUGUAUUAUAAUAGAAUAUAUAAGAUAAAUAUAAGAAUACAAGUACACAUACUACAAAAUAGAAUAAAAGCAAACUUUUAAUUUUACGAUAGUACCUUGAUUCAUGAUGUCUUGAUCUUGAUGACAAGUUGAGGGUUUAUCAUGCACUGCAUGCUCAACAAUAUUAGGUAGAGGACCAGCUUUCAUUCUAGACCGCACUGUACCACUUCGCGUCGAAUAUUGCAUCCGGUGUGAUAAAAGUCCAUAGUCUAUGUCCAAAGGAUUUACUAUUUACAAAAUAUGAAGAAGGUAUAAAAAAUAACUACAAAUAAAAAUCACACAGAAUGUAAUAUUUUUUAACGGUAUACUCCAUAAAGUUGUCAACUAAUCAGCCAUUAUAUGUUUAAGAAUAUUAGGAAGAGAGUAAGCUAUAAGCUUUAGUUGCACUUCUCAUGUAUAUUUAAAUAUUCAAUAAUGUGACAAAAAUUGAUCUCCUAUUUUUGAUGAGAGAUAUUAGGGUGUAAAUUCUCAAAUAUUACCAGCUUCGUCAACAUUUUCAUUUCGAGACAAAGGUGGGUGCUGAUCAGCUGCUGUCUGGAAAUUGGAUCUUUGAUACCUUGAAUGGACAUGAUGAUUGGCAUUUACUUGCAUAUGAUAUUUUGAAGAAUGCUUUGAAGUUUCUUGACUAUGUAAGCCAUGAUUUUGUUGUCCUUGUUGUUUAGAAGAUUCAGAUAUCAUGUUAGUCGUAAAUUUUGGAUGAAUCACACGCUUCUUCAUUGGUAAGUCCUGCAAAAAAUUGUUAAUAAAAGCAAAGAAAAGGUUAGGAACAAAUUAUAGUUCUAAAUUAUGUUAAAAUUCUACACAAUAAUGAAAAGUUUAUUUUGCAUUGAAAUAAAAAGUGCAAAAAUUUAAAUUAACCUUCAUAAGGAAAUUAUGUGAUAUACAAUUGCAUCCUAACAGUCACUUUCAAUAAAAUCUGAUUCAUAAUCAUUUCCCUCCCUCUCUACGUUGGAUGUAGGUAAAAAAACAUCAAUUGUUACACCUGGAACAUCAGUCCGAACCCAAUUAAUGUCUUCAUCAAUGUCAGAACUUAUUAUAUUCUCUGCCAUAUUUUCAUUAGGGCUAUAUAAAAAAUCAACAUCCAUAUCAUCCUUUCCAUCAGUUAGAUUUAGUUUCUCAUUCAUAUCAAAUAGGUCUCUUGGUUUGUGUUUGACUACAACAUGCCAAUCUUUCUCUAUAGGGUCCUGUACGUAGAAUACUUGCUCAGCUUGCGAGGCGAGCACAAAUGGCUCGUCUGAAAAAUUUUUUCCUGUGUUAGUUAGCCUUUUGAAGUUUACCAAGGUAAAACCAAACUCAUCUUGCUUAAUUCCGCUGCGACGAUUGAUAUCCACCCAAUCACAUUUGAAUAAUACAACUCUAAAAUGCCCACGAUAGUCAAGCUCAAAAAUAUCUGUCAAGAUGCCAUAGUAGUUAACAUCUCCCAAACUAGGAUUUUCAUCCUUUGCACUUGCAAAGCUAGAUGUUGUUGCUGAAACAACAACACCACUAUUUUGAGUAUUUCGAUUAAGUUCACGAUCUUUAGUAUGGAAUCGAAACCCGUUUAUCAAAUAUGCAGUAUAUCUGAUUGCCAUAUCAUUAGGACCUUUGGCAAGCCAGAACAGUUCAUCAGAUAUAUGUUCUAUAUUUGCCUUUUUUAAUGCCAUUACCUGAGGAGAUAAAAUAAAAGUU